rnacentral:lncRNA from 1 species
UAAUUCCCACUAAAUUUUUGGCGGGUAUUUUUACUUAUCCAAUUAAUCCUAGUUAAAGUUGGAAUGAUAUUUAAUCCUUAUAUUGAUUGAUGAUAAACCUUGUCAAUUUUUUGCUUAAUAUGUCAUACGAAAUCAUUUAUAGGAUUAUAGUAAAGGAAAAAUGUAUUAUUAAGUAAUUAAUUAAGCAUAUAUUUCCUCCGUUCACUUUUACUUGUCACUAUUUCGAGAUCAACUUAUAUAAAUUUUGACCAACAUUUUAAGAUGCAUUAUUUAAUAUUUAAAUUUUUAAAUUUUAAAAUUUUAAAUUUAGAUGGUUAGAACUAUAUGAAAAAUGUAUUAUUAAAAUAUUUUUGAAAAUUGUUAUAAGUUGCAAUUCUUCUCAUAUUAAUAUGAUGAAAAAAUGUAUCUUAAAAUAUUGGUAAAAGUUUAUACAAGUUAACCUCAAAAAGCGAAACAAUGACAAGUAAAUAUGAACAUAUACAGGGAGUAUUAAAAGAAAAUAAACAAAGAAAUUAAAAGUUGGAGAGAGUAAUAGUUAUCACAUUGAAUCAUGAUUCAUCGUUUAAUAUAUUAUGAUUCAUUUCAUUUUAGCCCGAGUGUCUUUUGAUUCCUUUAUUUAUUGACUCAAAUUAUUUUGAUCAACUAAGUUUAGUUCAACCCACCUAUUUGAUAUCCUUAAAAAUAAUUAUUUUCUAGUUUCUUAGUUAAAGUAGAUUUUAUGAUGUUAUAAAUGAAAAUACUAUAGCGCCACCUAUUUGUUUAUUCGGUGAGGAUUUUGAUAUCAUUAUGAUCAUGUUGAGACUCAUGAGUGAUUGAAUUAUUUUUUCUUCAUGGGGUUUUAUGCAUUUGUUUUGGUGGAUACUGUAGGUGUGUAGGUGGUGAAAAUAUGCAAUAAUUUAGCAUCAUUACAAUACUGGAAGACGUCUGUAUGGUAUUUUCAAUAUUUAAGAUAAGGUGCAAUUAACUUAAUUUUGGUCUCUUUCCACCUACAGUUAAAAUGAUUGCGAAUGAAUUGAUCUAAAUAUUAGUAAUCCUUCUAUAGUUUAUGACAUUAUAUCGCACUAAUUAUCAAGGCAACACAAUUAAUUCCUAGGUACCUCCCUCCUUCCAUUGAUAACCGGAAACUUUCAGUUUUUGGUAAAAUACAUAUAUGAUUCAUUGAAUUAAUUAAUAUUUCUUCUUAUGUUCUUGCUCAAGUUCAUACGAAACUUGGGAAUUAAGAUUUAAUUUUCUGUCAGGAGAGUUUUGACUUUGAAUAUAUUACUCCAGCAAACAAAGAAAUCGACAAAUAAGAUUUAACAUAUCUAUACUGACAUUAACAACCUACUAUCUGUCCGAGGUGGUGGUAAAGUUCUGUGUAUACUCUAUCCUCCCCAAGCAUCACUUAGCUUGUGGGCCGGAAUUUCAACGGGUAUGUUGUUGUAGAAUAAAAUGUUGUUUCAUUUUCCAGAUUCUACUUCUUAUUUCUAGACUCUAAGCUGUUCCUUGACAUUACGGUCACCUUAAUUAAAAUAACAAAUCAAUGAGAAUACCAACUCUCAUACCUGUAUUUAUGUUCCUUUGUCGAGAAGUAUGUCAUAAGUAGCACCAUUUUUGUAGCAAAAGGAACAAAAUGAUUGUUAAUGUAAUUAGAGAAGUCCAGAGAGUGAUUAAGGCAUUGUGAGUAGCAGAUUUCUUGAAUAAUCUUCAUGUCAUUAGUAGCAGAUUUCUCGAAUAGUCUUUUUAUCGUUAGUAGUAGAUUUCUCAAAUAGACCUCUUGUCGUUAGUAGCACAAUCAAAAAUUCUGACAAGUGAGAUCAGAAAAUAUACAAGAAUAUCAUAAUGGCAUUCAAAACAGUAAUCGCAACAAUCAAUUGAACCUCCUCCGGAUCAUAUAACUCUGCCUAAGUGUGACAAAACUAGCCCGAACCCAUCAAACAUGCCCAGAUUUUAAUGGGCUUGGGAUGGAGCGGUUUUAAGAUUGGUUAGUUGGGCUAACCUAUCAGAAAUUAUAAGCUCAAAUGAACCCAUGAUGAUGUUUAAUUUUAAGAAAAAAUUACAUAAACUAACAACCUUAAGAUAUUAAUUACAAGAAAUAACAAUACAAGAAAUAACAAUAGUUUGACAAAAUUACAAUUAAUAACAAAACUAGCAAUAUUUUACCUUUUUUUCCUUAAAAGCACGUGAAAUCUACUCUCUUAUUUUCAAUUCUCCAUUUUUACUCUACUUUACCUAUUUCACUUCCCCCAAACUUCCUUUUUUUUUUUUUUUUCAAAUUCUCCCAAAUUCCACAUGAAAUCCCACAUCUUGAUAAAGAUCAUCUCCACUUUUUAAGGUAACUUUUUAUUUAGUUAAUGCAUGCUAUUUUUUUUCCAUUUAAUUUCUGUUAAGGUGUUUUAGUGUCGCCAUUUUUUCAAAAUUAAUUUGCAAAACUCGUCUUUUUGGGUUUAUUUUGUUUUCUGUUGAAAUUGUACGAGUUAAUGUAUAAUGACUCAACAUGCAAAUCGUAGUAGUUCAGUUAGAGAAAAUCAAUCGAACAAUUUAGUUUCCAAUGAACUACCAUCGUUUAGUCUUGGUUUAACAAAAGACGAAGAUUUUAACUUAAGUUCUACUAAUAUUCUGUCUAACGAAGGUGUUAUAGUUGAAGAGUUGAGAUCGAAGCACUGUAACAAUCCCGAAAAGAUUGUGGAGCAUUGACAAAAUCUUCAUCCCAAAAUUCAUAAAAUUUAAAAAAUCAGUGAAAAGGAGAAAAUCGGAUGAAAAAGGAGAAUGUAGUAAAACUGCAAGUCCCGUUGCAUCAGAUUGUGAAUCUGAACAAGAAAAAGUGGAGGAGGUAUGGUACUAAAAUUUGUGUAAGAUAUUUGUGUUUAUCAAUGACAAGGUUUCUGUAUAUAUAUUUUUAUAUAGAAGUGUAUUAUGUAUUCUGAAAAUACAUUCAAUUUAGAUAUGUGUUUUUAUGUGUACCUCUAAGAAUUUUAUUCGAUGUUAAGUUGUGUUUGGUAGUCAUUACAUUUUGAAUGUGAUAUGUAGGUCUUGUUUGUUGAAAUGUGUUUUUUUACAUACAUCAAGUGACGAUAAUUUUUAUAUUUUGAUGUGUUGAUAACUUAAAUAUUGACUAGUAAUGUAACUUUUAGGAUGUAUUUUCUUAAAUACAUAUGCUGCACUGUUUAGACAUAUAAUUCUGUUUUUAUGUUGUAUAGGUGUUGCGUUUUCAAAAUAUACAUGACGAGUAAUUCAUGUGUAUGUUUCAACUGUUGACGGUGUUCCAACUAUUGAUUUUGAUCCAGAUCUUCUUCGCACGAGAUAUGCUUUGAUGUUGUGGCAUUAUGGUUCGAGGAAAGAAGAAGAGAAGGCACAAAGUGAUGAUGAAGCACCAAUGAGGCAUACUAGGGAUAUUGGGAUAACAUAAGAUAUUGAAGUGCAUGAUAUUUGAAGAUUAUUUUGAAUUUGUUGUAUUUUACAAUAAUGGACUUUAGGUAGACUAAGAUUUAGUUGAAUAUUUCUUAGAUUUCAUAUGUCACUUUAAUGUUGAAAAUUGAUAUGUUAAUAUUUUCUUUGCUGUAAUUGUUAGAUUUUUGAUGUUUAAAUUUCUAAAAUACAGUUGUUCGUGCUUAGUUUAUGCUACUGUUAUGCAUAUUUUGGUAUGAAUAUGUGCUUUCUAGUUUUGAAUAUAAUUUUCAGUAUUGAAUAUGUAUGUUUCAGUCAUUAUAUGUAUUUUUGAGUAAUGCAUAUGUAUUUUGAGCAAUGUAUGUGCUUUUUUUCAAUUCUGCACAUAUACUUCUGAAUAAUACAUAAUUAUUGUAUAGUUUUACAUAAGUCUAUAUAUUUUUAUGAUGCGUAUAUAUUUAUGAUUAAUACAUAAGUAUUUUACUAGAAAAUAUAUAUAUAUAUAUAUAUAUAUAUAUAUAUAUAUAUAUAUAUUUGUCUGGAUAUAUACUUUUUUGGUCAUGCAUAUGCAUGUGUAUUUGUCCAGUUUAAUACAUAUGUAUUUUACCACAUAAGCAUAUGUAUUUAUGAGUUAUUCAUAAAUUUUUUUUCAUAUAUGUAUAUAUAUCUAUGAAUAAUGCAUAUUAAAGUAUGAUUAAUGUAUAUGUUCUUUUUUUUUAAAAAAAUGUAUUUAAAGUUUUAGUUAUGUAAUUGAUAAGUCAUUAUAUGUAUUCUUAAUUGCUUUUAUUUAUUACAUAAAUGUACGUUAACUUAUUUUUAUUUUUUAUAGAUUGGCAUAGGUUUUUAUUAGAUUCUCAUAUGUAUUUUUUUUAGAUUAAAAAUUUAACUUGUGUAACGUACAGUUCAUUAAAUAUAAAUAAAUGAUGUUACACGUCUUGUAUACUAUAUUCUUAAACCGAACUCAUUAAAAAUAAAAAUUAGACCCAAUAAUUGUGUUGGAUUUAUUUUAGUGGGUUUGAUUUUUAUUUUGAUUUUAAGUAAUAUUGGUUGAUUUAGAUUUGGUAAUGUGAACUAGGUCAUGUGACAAAAAUAAUUUUGCAAAACUACUAUUGCAAAAUAAUAAUUCGAAUGAACUUUUCUGUAACAGCAGCGAUAUAAAUGCACCAAACUUUUAAAGGCAGUGAUAUAAAUGAGCCAAACUUAUAGCGGGUGACAUAAAUGAGUUAUUUCUGAAAUAUUUGAGCGCGACCACAACAUAACACGUAUAUAGAUAGGUUUUAUUGUCAUAUACUACUGCAAUGCUUCAACUUCAAACAAACUGAAAUUGUUUAUGUGAAUUCCCUUCAUGUCGGCUGCACGGACUCCGAUUGUGUCAGCUAUUCACAUUGUCAGUCUCAAACUUGGGAAUCAGACGCUGUGUAGGCAAUUGAUGUAAAAUUAAUCAUAUCGACCCAUGAAUUGAAAUUAAAUCUUGUAAAAUUCGUGUAUUUACGAUCUUUAAUUUCAUUGUGAUCGAUUAACUUAUGCAUGCAUACACUAUAUUGCAAAUCACACAUUUAUUUAGUUCAACCAUACUCUAUGGUCUUGUUCCUUCACACACGUAGAAUUCCACGUGGAUUUCGAGUGGAUUUGGAAUUUGGAUAUGGCUGUGACAUGAUAACAAACCAGCAUGUGCUUUCUGGUGGUGCAUAGAGCAAAAGUAUAAAGUUAGUUGCAACUUAUUAAAUAGAAAACAAAUAGAUGUACAUAUAUAUAGGAAGGAUAACUAAUAGACGUGCAACUUUCAACUUAGAACUAUAGUAUUUGUCAUAAUUUCAAAUGGAAUGUAAAUGUUAAUUACUUAGAUAUGUUCACCUUAUAUCCACAUCUAAUUAAAUCAGAAGGUUGAGAUAUUCCAGAAGUGUCCGAAGAAUUGUCUUUUUUUUUUUUUUGGUGUUUUCACCUGAUAUUUGAUAUAUGUAUUGGCCCCUCGAUUAAAUAAUUGCAAUUCACCCGUGUAACGUCAUUUAAGGGGAAAACACUUCCUAACAAGUUUUUCUUUUUUUCAUAAUAACUCAAACCUGAGACUUUUAAUUAAGGACGAAAGAAUCAUAUUCAUACCAUCACAACUCUUGUUGGGGUACUGACAAGUUCAAAUCUUUAUUAAACUCUGGUUAGUGACGUGAGUUCAAGGGUAUUUUUAUGGAAAGGAAAAUAGAAGUAAAGUGUAUCAUUGAGUAUGUUUUAAGUAACAGUAUAUAUAUUUAAUAGCUUCAUUUACUGCAACCAUCUAAAGGAUCAAUUUAUGAGAAGAAUUAAUGUUCAAUUUGCAAAGUGUCAUAUUCUUAACAACCCUUUUAUUCAAAGUUUGUAGUACUCAAUAAUUUAACAGAUCAAGUAGUAGUAUAGUAGUAUCUCUUGUCAUUAUCAUUUUAAUACUAAAUUAAAUGCAUGUGAGGACUCACAUCUUGUCACCUUGGGCACCACAUAUUAACCCCACUUUUGUCUAAGCUUUUCCUGUUUAUCUUAUAAUUUUGUCAACUAAUUCAUCAAUCUCGUGUUCCUCGUGAUUGCUCUACUUAUUAUUUUGAUACUGUACAUAAUAGUAGAGCUUAAUUCAAAAUUUAAUUCUGAUAGCUUGAUUUGAAUUUAAUCUAUCACUGAUUAGCGGAGUUUAAAUACAUAUACAUGAUCUGUACGGAAAAUAUUGAAUUCGGAUAACUAUGUAUAAUUACACUUAUUUAUAAUAUAAAUAAAUUUAUGAAUUUAGCUAGGAAAUAAAUAUUAUAGUAACGGCUAUUUUACUUUUCAUAAGCAGCUAAGCAGCUCAAUUAUGGAGUCAUACAAGUGGUCCAGACUUUUGGAGCAACUACACACAAUGUCUUUUUAAGGACAUAAAGAAAUAAAUAAGAAAAUUUCAUUUCUAAAUCUUUAUUGGAAUAUUUUGAUAAGGUAAACUCCCCUCUAAUCAAAUUUUUUUUCAAGGCGGAAAAGCUUCUUUAAUUUAAACAUCAUUUUCUUACUUUGAAUAUUUUAUAAUUUAAUGGAAUAACAGAAUUUAUUCAUAAGUUAGCCUUGAUAGAAAAAAUCAGAUGGCAUUAUACAUGUCAUAAGAAAUACAUCUCUCUCUCUUUCUCUUAACAAAAGAGAAAAUUAGACUGGAUUAGUUUUCUUACUUUGCUUAAACAUUACUAAAAUUCAAAAUAAUAUAGGCUGGACAUUGAUCUCUUAUAAUCCUUAGUUAUUUUAGUUACAUCACACCCUUGAUAUCCAAAUCCAUAAUAAAAGAUACUAAUAACCUUCCUCAUGAAACACAUUAGUUUGUUUUUACAAAAAUACAUCAUUUGAAUUUUGAAUCAACAUCAUUGAAUAGAUUAGAAAAUAUAUAUUGCUGCAAAUCCAAAUGACAACGACAAAAUAAAAGAUGAAAAUUUCAUAAACUUGUAUUAUUGGAUGUACUAAACUAAAUGAAUAUAACUCCAAAAAGUCGCUCAAACAGUUUUUUUUUCGACAAAUAAAAACCUUCAAGAUACAAUACUUGAGAAUUUUGAAUUCAAAAUUAAGCCUAAAAAAGAAAAGAAUGCAAAAUCCUAACAACAUUAUCCUUAAACUUACUAUUUUAAGAAAUUGACAUGCUCUCCCAUAGGUGAAAAUUUACUACAUUCAGUAUUUAUAGCAAUUCAAAAAAUAUGACACAUAUCCUUAAAUACCCCUUAAUUUUACCCCUUAAUUAUAAGUAAAGAUAUUCUUAGAUUAAUUUAUCACUUGCUACAGUAAAUUAAUAUGACAUGAUUCGAUAAAAUAAUUUGUUAAGGACAGUAAAAAUUAAAGUAUAUGAAUUUUACUUGAUUUAUGUCCACAAUAUAUGUGUCCUCAAGCCAAAUUUCUUUUCCUCUAUAUUUUUGAUUGGUUAAAGUGGUGACCUGCUUAUAUCGACUUGACCAAUCCUCUCUUGAUGAGCUAGUUUUGAGGUUGAGUUACUAUGGGCCCGUUUGGCCAUGAAAAUUUUUCUCUUUCUUCGAAAAAAAAUUCGGAGUUGAAAAUUGUGGUGUUUGGUCAUGAAAAUUCAGAAAAUAAUUCCGGAAUUUUUCUGAAAAGGAAAAACAGGUUUUUGUUGUUUUCACAAUUUUCCAAUUUCAAUUCCAACUUUUAUUAUUAUUACAUAUAACCCCAUUCUUUUAAAUUUUUACAUAAAACUCUCCUUAUAACAUUACUUUUUCAAUAUUACGUAUAUAGCAAUUUUAAGGAAUAAAAUAAUUAUAAUUUCAAACUCAAUGCUAUCCUAAUUAGUAUAUAUCUCUUUAUCUCUCUUAUCAUUAUUUUUAUCCCUUAUUUAAUUUUCUCCCUCAUUUAAGACAUUAUUUUACUGUUAAUUUAUAUUUAUACCAAUAAAUAUAUAAAGUAUUAUAUUUAUAAUAGAAAUAUACAAAGUAUGUUAUAUAUAAAGUUUAUAUCAUGUAUAUACCAUAUACACAUAUAUAAAUAUACAAAGUAUAAAGAAACAUACUAAGCAUAUUUAUAUAUUUAUGGUAUAUGAUAUAAUAUACCAUAAAUAUGCAAAGCAUGUUUUACAUAGAAAUAAUUUAUUCACACACAGUAAAAUCUUUCAUGUAUAAGAAAAUUAAAGAAAUAAAUUAGCGGCACCUUAAAAUUUAAUAACAACUCAUCAUUUCCUAUUUUUUAGGAACGGAAAAUGAAGGAAGUAAAUUAAAUAAAUUCCUAAAAAAUAAAUUUAUUUGAAAGAUAAUAUUUGUUACCUAAAAAACAGGAAGCAGUGUUCUGUUAAUAUAACAUCCAUAUUUAAAAUUUUUAAAUAUGAGAAAACGACUAUUAAUGUAAAUAUUAUAUAUGUCAUAAUUGAAAUUCAUUAAAUAUGACCAUGUAUAUGUAAUUAUUUUUAUAAUAGUGGCUAAUUGUGUUCUUUUUUCAUUAGUAGGUAAAUUUUAAUUAGGUGAUUUUGAUAGUUUGUAAAAGUUAGGGCAUAAAAUUAUAUUUAAAAAAGUUUUUUCAAAAGUCAAAAGAAAAUUUCAAAUAAGACAUGGCCAAACACAACUCCAACUCCAGAAAAUUUUAGUUUUCAUGGCCAAACGGCUACUAUAUUUUUACAUGAUAUCAGAGUGAUGAUCAUUUCUAUUUCGACUCCCAAUUCAUGCUUCAAUUUGGAAGGGGGUGGGGGUGGGGUGUAAAUAGAGUAUUAGUAACCAUUUUUACAUUGUUAACACACAAAUUAAUAAACACCAUUUUAGCAUUUUCAUCCUCUUUCUUGUCUUUGCAUUAAUUUUUGAUUUAGUUCUCUAUUUAUGAUCAUUAGUAACUCUAUAAUGAUCAAUCGAAUUAGAAAUUUCAUAGUUUUGGAAAUUCUCUAAAUUAUAAGUAUUUGAAAUAAAAAAGACUAAACAUAAAUGAUUCACCUUACUUAUCAUGAAAUUAAGGUUGCUAAAUAUGAUUUGUAAUAAAUUGUAUCUAAACUCCGUGGCAUUUCACGUAAUAAUUAGCAAAAGAGCGCCCUAUCUCAUAUCUACAUUCUUCAAUUAUGUUUAAAAAUUUUCUUUUUUUUUGUUUUUAUGUUACAACGGUCAUAAAUCAAUUUCAAAUACCCCGUAACAGCCACAAAAUCUGUGCAUUUCUCUUCAACUUUAUCUCACCUCACGCUCAUAUACAGCUCCUUCAAUAUUUUUUAUAUCCAGAAAAAAAGAAAAGAAAAUAAAUCCACCAAAUUUAUCAGUAGUCUAUUUCUAUUCAAAUCACUAAAUUCUCUCUCUCCAAAAUCUUCUCUCUAAAAUAUCGCCGUUAUUGUUGUUGUUGUUCUUCACAUUGUUGAAUCUCUCAACGGCCGGCCGGCAAGCAGACGAUUUGAUCGUCGGUAAGUCUACACGUUUUCCUCGUCAUUUCUGCAUUAUACGUAUAAAUGCGUAUGCAUUAAUUGAAUGUUUUUUUUUUCAAUCGAAUUUUAUCUUUUCAUGAUUUAUAGAUUAGUCGUUUUCAAUUUGAUGAUGAAUUUUCGUUUGUUUUUUCCGUGAAAAUGUACUUCAGAGCAUUCGAGUUGGGAGCUUCUCUUUUGCUAUAUCAAGUUUGUGUUUCUCAGAUUUGGAAUCGAGGUGAAUUGAAUUGAAUCAGAGAAUUGGAGGAAAUAAGGAGAUCAUUAUUGAAAUGGAGCAACAGAGAAGAGGCUACGUAUCACGGUCACCUUCACAGACACCGCGGUCUAGUGAAAAGGCUGUUAGAGAUCUGCGAUCAGCAGACGGGAAUACGAGUGGAAAGCAUGAUAAUAAAGAUAAAGGUGUCAAUGUGCAGGUUAUUGUGCGUUGCAGGUUAGUAGAAUUAGUGCAUUUUGGAGCUACUGAAUUGAAUUGAUUGUAUUUGAUGGAAUCAUUGUGAUGGUUGUGAAUUAUGCAGGCCAUUGAGUGAGGAUGAGAUGAGAUUGAAUACAGCAGCAGUGAUUUCUUGCAAUGAGGGAAGAAGAGAAAUUUCUGCUAUGCAGAACAUAGCUAAUAAACAAAUUGACAAAACAUUUGUCUUUGAUAAGGUUUGAAUUUCUUUUAUUUGUUCUUUAUAUGAUAGCAUUGAAGGGGAGCCUUGGAGUAAUUGGUAAAGUUGUUGCCGCCAUGUUAACUCGUGGUCAUGGGUUCAAGCCGUGGAAAAAGCCUCUUGUAGAAAUGCAAGGUAAGGCUGCAUACAAAAAAAACCUUUGUGCUUCAACCUUUCCCUAAUAGCUAGCGUUAGUGUACCGGGCUAUCCUUACCCUUUAUAUGAUAGCAUCAGUUCUAAAAUAGAUAUAGGAAAAAAGAACAUGUAGCCAAAAGGAAAAAGAAAAAGAAAAGAAGAAUAGAGUGACUAGUUUUAAAAGUAGGUACUAAUUUGGUGUAAUUACUUGGAUACGUUGCCUGUUUAGAGCCAAAUGGAUAUGAGUAUUUCAUUAACUCACUCCAACUAGUUUGGGUGGGUGUAUUUGCUAGCUAUAUAGAUUGAAACUGAAUGUCACACUUCAGUUCUGGUACAAAACGAAUUUUUAUGUUACUGCUGAAGAGUUUAAGUGAAUCAGACAUCUGGUGUUUCUUGAGAUGACGCUAAAAUUUGGUUUGGUAUUGCUGUCCAGGUCUUUGGUCCUACGUCCAAACAGAAGGACUUGUAUGAUUCUGCAAUCUGCCCUAUUGUAUUCGAAGUUCUAGAGGGCUAUAACUGCACCGUUUUCGCGUAUGGGCAGACAGGAACAGGGAAAACUUAUACAAUGGAGGGAGGGGGAAGAAAGAAGGUUGGUGUCUAUUAGAGAUGAAAUUGUUUAUGCUACUUUCUUCUGUUUGAUAAUACAAUACAGUUCACCCCGUUUAGAAUGGGGAAUUUCCAAGUGAUGCAGGUGUUAUCCCACGAGCUAUUAAGCAAAUCUUUGACAUAUUGGAAGCUCAAAGUGCUGAAUAUAGUGUGAAAGUAACGUUCUUGGAGCUGUAUAACGAGGAAAUAUCCGAUCUUUUAGCUCCAGAGGAAACUACAAAGUUUCCAGAAGACAAAUCCAAGAAACCAUUAGCUCUGAUGGAAGAUGGUAAGGGUGGAGUAUUUGUUAGAGGCCUUGAAGAGGAGUUAGUAAGCUCUGCAAAUGAAAUUUAUAAUAUCUUGGAGAAAGGUUCCGCUAAAAGGCGUACAGCAGAAACUCUUCUUAACAAACAGAGCAGUCGUUCUCAUUCUAUAUUCUCUAUCACAAUUCACAUCAAGGAGUAUACUCCAGAAGGGGAAGAAAUGAUCAAGUGUGGCAAACUGAAUCUUGUAGACCUUGCGGGUUCUGAAAACAUUUCACGUUCUGGUGCAAGAGAGGUGAGGCAUUAAAAUUCUUAAUUCGUUAGCCAUUGUAUUUAGCAAUUUUGUUAGUAAGAAAAAAAAAGAAAAAGAGAACCAAAUGAACGAGUGUGCAAAAGUUGCUUAGCGAUGUCAUCAAUUUGCCUACUUCAUGCCAACUUAUCCUGGAAGAGACUUUUCAAGUUCCUUUUGGCUCUUUGCCCACUUUGAUUGUGUAUGUUCACAUUCUUUUAAGCUGCACUAGAUGAUAGAUUUUCUUUUGCAGGGCAGAGCAAGGGAAGCUGGGGAAAUCAACAAGAGUUUGCUUACACUUGGUCGUGUUAUAAAUGCUCUAGUUGAGCACUCUGGCCAUGUCCCAUAUAGGUGCUUAAAAAACCCAUAUUUAGAUAAGACAAUAUUAUAUGUAUGAAGCUUUUUACAUACCCUGGGAAACAUUUGUUUUGUUUGUCAGGGAGAGCAAAAUAACAAGAUUGUUGAGGGAUUCAUUGGGAGGGAAAACAAAGACAUGCAUAAUUGCGACAAUAUCUCCCUCCAUUCACUCUAUGGAAGAGACACUAAGCACUUUAGAUUAUGCUCAUCGUGCCAAAAACAUAAAAAAUAAGCCAGAGGUCAGUUUUCUGGUCAAUCAAGCAUUCUAAAAAGAUUUUUAGUUCAAACGUCCUUAACUUUUCUUUUGCUGCUAUAUAGAUUAAUCAGAAGAUGAUGAAAUCUGCAUUGAUGAAGGACUUAUAUUCUGAGAUUGAAAGGCUGAAGCAAGGUUUUAUAUUGCUUUCUUCUUCUCUCUUCACGAAUCUCCAUCUUUGAAUGGUAGUUGCUUUAAAUUAUUAUAUGUUUUGAUUACAUGAAUUCCCAUUUUAAUGCCAACAGAGGUGUAUGCUGCAAGAGAGAAGAAUGGUAUCUACAUCCCAAGAGAUCGAUAUCUCCAAGAGGAAGCUGAGAAAAAGGUUAGGUCCUGCUCACUGAUCUACUGAUUAGUUGAAUUAUCAUGUAAUCUUUUCCUAUGCAUGGUCAAUAUGUUUUUUCUCGUCUCUCAGGCAAUGUCUGAAAAGAUCGAACGGAUGGAACUUGACUCAGAAUCAAAAGACAAGGUAUGCUGCUGCUGAUUAAUUACUCAGCUCGAUUUUAUUGAUCAUCCAUAACUCGUAACUCAUUACAUUUUUGGCUACUGCAAACAGAAAUAUAUGGAGCUUCAGGAACUGAACAAUUCUCAGCAGUUGUUGAUCACUGAAUUGAGUAACAAACUUGACAAGACAGAGGUACGGUGUUCGGACCUCACCUAAUUUCAAUAGCUUUCUUUUGUUGAUAUACUCUUUCUCAUGGGGAUUAUCUAUAAAUAUGUGUCUUUCAGAAAAAGCUUCAGGAAACUCAGCAUAUUUUGGCUGAUCUUGAAGAGAAACACAGGCUGGCAAUUGCAACAAUUAGAGAGAAGGAAUUUCUGAUAAUGAACCUUCUUAAGUCUGGUAAGCCACAUCCUCUGCACAUGGUCAAAGCAGACUCUUUGAUUAUGUCAUUUUCAAUUGCCUGAAAUUGCAUGUUUUUUUCCUACGCGCACCAACUUUGGGAGGAUUAUAUUUUACAGGUGGUGGUGAUUUGGGGGGGGGGGUGGGGGUGGUGGUUGCAACUUGCAAGAUUCUAGUGUUUCUUUUAUAAACAUUUUUUUAGGUGGGGGGGAUCAUAUCUCUCUUAUUAAAGGAAUUACCAAAUUCAUCGGUUGACACAAUAUGGGGAGUAUAUAUAUAUAUUUUUUGGAAUCAUUACCUUACGUAAUAGUUAUAUGAGAUAUUUAAACAUAUGUAUUCUACCAGAAAAAUCACUGGUUGAGCAGGCCUUUAAACUUCGAGCUGAGCUGGAACAUGCUGCAUCAGAUGUCUCUAACUUGUUUGCAAAGAUUGGUAGGUUAACAACUUUUAGGACCUGAUGAAUCCCUAAUGAUUUUCUUUCUCAAAAUAAAGGCUCUUACGCCCACUAUACUGAUAAUGGUUGAUUUCAGAGCGCAAGGACAAAAUAGAACAUGAAAAUAAAGUUCUCAUCCAAAAGUUCCAAUCCCAAUUAACUCAACAACUUGAAGUUUUGCAUAAGAGUGUUGCUUCCUCAGCCACACAACAAGAGCAACAACUCAAACACAUGGAGGAGGACAUGCAGUCCUUUGUGUCUACCAAGAUUGAGGUAUGCCUGAUUUUGUAUACCUCUUAAAGAAGACACUCUACCUGUAAAACACGUUCAAAACUAUGUACUUCAGAGUUUGGUACCUCUUAAAGAAGACACUCUACCUGUAAAACACGUUCAAAACUAUGUACUUCAGAGUUUGGUACUCAUGUUAAUCAGUAUGUGUUUGAUGUAGGCUAUGGAGGAGCUUCGAAGCCUCCUAGACAAUUUGAAAAGCAUGUUUGGUUCUGGUAUCAAAGCUUUAGAUGGUUUGGCGGGGGAGCUCGAUGGCAAUGCUCACUCAACUUUUGUCCGUUUAAACAGUGAAGUUUCAAACCAUUCAUCUGCUCUCCGAGAGGUAUGCCUUCUUUAAUUCUCUGAGAAAUUCCAAAUAUGCCUUUUUUUAAUUCUUUGAGAAAUUCCAGGUAGUAUUUUCUGCUUAUCUCCAUCUUUUUUCUUUCUGAAAUGCAGCUUUUUGAGGAGAUUGCCUUUAAGGCCAACACCUUGGUUAAUGAUCUCCAAAAGAGUCUUCACAGCCAGGAGGAGAAACUAAUUGCAUUUGCAGCACAACAACAUGAGGUAUCAGUAGUUUCUAUUUGUGAGCUCUUCCCCCUUCUCCCCCCAGUUCGCCCCUGUAUAUCCCUCUUUUUUCCUUCCCUAGUUUGGAUUAUGAAGUUUGGAUGCUUUUAUAGGCUCACGACAGGACAAUCACAACAUCAAGGUCAUUUUCUCAAAUUACUGGCAACUUCUUUAAGACUUUGGAUACGCAUGUUUCCCAAUUGGGUGAUAUAGUUGAAGAUGCACAAACCGUCAGUGACCAGAAGUUUUCAGAUCUUGAAAAGAAGUUUGAGGUAAUUAAUGUCAUCCAUGUACAUCUCUCUCACUUAAUGAAGGUCCACAUACUUUUUAGCCCUGUUUUUUAUAUGUAUGCCUCAUACAGGAAUGUGCUGCCAAUGAGGAGAGGCAAAUCUUGCAGAAAGUGGCAGAACUCCUUGAAGGAUCAAAUGCUAGAAAGAAAAAAUUGGUAUGGUCAUUUUAUUAGUCAUAUACACGCAUGCAUCAUAAUUGCUUCACCAGUUGAAGAAAGGCAUACAGCUGCGGAUAAAAUUUUCAUUAUGCCUUAACCCAGGCAACAAGAUAGUAACUUCAUUGAUCUAUGAAUAUGGAAAAAAAAAAGAUGCAUUUUCUUUAGUCAAGCGAGCAAAAUAGGGUGACAACAACAAUGACUCUUUAUAUAAAUGUGUGGCCUUCCUUUAACUUUGUUUCUAGCACUUAGUACUCCAUUUACAAGUGACAAGAAGAGUGUGUCGUGGGUUCUGGAGGACAAUCAUAAUACUUUUUUCCAUUUUAGGCUACGAAAGUUUAUUGGGUUUUCUACUUCGUUUGCUCUAGGUUCAAACUGCAAUCAAUGACCUCCGAGAAAGUGCUUACAUCCGAACCAGUAGACUAAAACAAGAGAUGUCAACCAUGCAAUACUCAACUACUUCAGUCAAAGCAGAAUGGACCAACUAUAUGGAAAAGGCUGAAUGCCAUCAUCUUGAGGAUACUGCAUCUGUGGAUAAGGGGAAGAAAGAGAUGGAGGAGGUGCUACAGAAUUGGUAUGGUCCUUUUAGCAUGUCAUAUUACUUCUGUAGAGAACUUAUGGCUGUCUGAAUAGUUUCUUGGCCUCUCUGCUCACUCGAAUAUAUGUACUAUGCAGUCUGCAAAAGGCAAAAUUGGGUGCUGAACAAUGGACGAAUGCUCAAAGCUCUUUGAUCAGUCUAGAGGAAAGAAAUGUUGUGUUUGUCGACAAAAUUGUUAGGUUGGUUGAUUCACUUGCUAUUCAAGGCUUCUGUCUCAUAUUUCCAAUAUCUCACUUUGUUAUUCAAGGCUUCUGCCUCAUUUUUCCACUACUCACUUGUUAUUUACUGUGAGCUUGUAACAUUUUUUAGUGAAGGAAUGAAUGCCAAUGAAGUAUUGCGCGCACAGUUUUCAUCUGGUGUGUCAUCUACUCUUGAAGAUACUGAUGUUGCUAGCAAAAUCCUUCUCUGUUCCAUUGACCGUACGUUAUCAAGUUGUUAACACAUAUAUAUUAAUAACUUACACUGGCUGCUUGGUAUCAUCCAAUAAACUAAAUUAAAUUUUGCAGAUUCUUUACAACUUGACCGUGAUGCUUGUGGGAACCUUGAUUCGAUGAUUGUUCCUUGUUGUGGAGAGCUGAGAGAAUUGAAGAGUGGACACUACCACAAGGUUGUGGAGAUUACAGAUCAUGCAGGACAAUGUCUUUCACAAGAAUACAUGGUAAGGACAUUCAGUCAUAUGACAGAAAAUCUGUCUCUUUUGUCAUUAUUCAUGUACUUUUACGACAUUAUGUUCAUGUCCAAAUCUUUAUCACUUGUACUAGGUCGACGAACCAUCUUGCUCUACACCGAAAAAGAGAGCUUUCAGUAUACCAAGUGCUGGUUCCAUUGAGGAGCUCAAGACUCCUUCUUUUGAGGAGUUGUUGAAAUCAUUUUGGGAUGGAAAAUCACUGAAGCAAGCAAAUGGAGAUGUAAAACAUACUGCAGAGGAUUAUGGAAUAUUGAGAGAUUCAAGACUUCCUCUCACUACUAUUAAUUAGGACUAUAGGAAAGACAUUAUAGGAUUAUGGAAGAAAAGCGCUGUACAUAAGAAUUCACCUACAUGGACGAGUGAGGGAAGGGUCCUCCACCUCCAAUUAUAGUUGGGGGUUCGAGUCAUCAAGAUAGCAAAGUGGAAGAAGCCAUUGUUAGGCUUUUUUGAGUAGGGAGAGUUUGUUUGAAUGUGGGUUACCGUAUCCGAGAAUGAAGAAAAUGGAACGAAGAUCUCCUACAUGUAAUUGUUGUUAGUGUAUCCUAUUCUUUCAAUUAUUUGUAGCAACUGGGAAGAAUUUCAUCUGUUUGACCCUCUUUGUAGGGAACAGAAUUAGGAGAUUCCUGAGACAAUGACAGAUUAUAGUAAAUGAAUGGCUUAGAGGUCUCUUUUGAUGUGAUAGAGUUUCUAAUUAUCUUCUCACCUGAUAAGUUCUUUUAUAUCCUGAGUAGCAGUAUUUAUAGGUAAUAAAGGAUGCAGAGCACUCAAAUGCACUCAAUGUGAAAUCCAAUCUUCUUGCAAAACCAUUCAAAUAAGGACAAACUUCGACAUUACUUCGAAAUAAUAAUCUUACGAACUCAAUGCCGCACUGAUGAAGGCACCCAAAUUCUUUGAUGUCAUAUCUGAUAUUCAAAGUUUUGUCUUGAUUCGGUACUGCAUUCCAGUUUUAUGCAUCGAAACAAUGCUUUACCCCUAAAUAUCCAGUCAUUUGUUGUGCCUUUCAGGGAACUAUGUUCAAACUUUAGUUCAAUUCUAUAGUUUAUAGAAUUGUCAAAGCCACGUUGAAGUUGAGAUUUGUUUUUAAAAAUUCCAAAACCCAAAAGCAUAAUAAAGAAAAAGAUCACCAAAAACAACCCAUUUUUUUAAAAAAAAAAAAAUUACAACGCAAAAAUCAGUUGGAGGACGACGUGCUUACAAGUAAGGAUCACAAUUGACUACUUGUUUUAUUAAAGAAUUCGAACCACGUCUAAAAGAUGCAGGCCUCCCCACUCAUUUGAUUCCCAAGAAUUUGUCCUAAGCAAACAUUGGAACAUUUAAUAGAAUAUUGAACUAAUUUAAACAUGAUCUGUCUCUAGCUUGCUAGGACUUUGCCUACAAUUAAAAUAUUGUAUUUCACACUAAUGGAUAAUGAACAAGUUGCAGUAUCUUAUGUACAAAUCCAGUCAGAAGAUUGAACUAACUCAAAGUAAAAUGAAAAGGAAUAGGACUUUGUCCAAUUAAUAAAAUGUUUCAUUUUGGCUGCUGUCUUAGUGGGGGGGCACUAUGGUUUUUAAAAACGUUGUAUUUUUCCAACCACUAACUUAACAAACUCUCCUCUCUUCAUAAAAAAUUUCUGUAAAAGAAGAAGAGAAUCACAUAGUAUGGUGCCCAUUGACAAUGGGGAUUUAUCUCGAGACAAUUCAGUGAAAUGGAUCCUUGAAAAUGCUGAAAAAGAUAGUACGAGCGACGUCCAGGAUAACAGACACGGUGCAGUCUCCCCACUAGAACCAGCAAACCAAAAAUCUUUCAAGAAAACUUUCAGCAUUUCAAGAAAAAGGAGUGGAGUUGUACCACGAAUGGAGAGGAUGCAAUCAGGAGCUUCUAGAGGACUCAAGAGCUUGCGGUUUCUUGACAGAACGACUACAGGUAUUGAAUUGUCCGACCAUCUCAUCUAAAAAGUUAAACUGUUGGCGAGUAUGCAUUUAUGUACUUAACUAUAUUUUCAACACGUCCACUCAUAUGCCAGCCUGAUUCCUUUUCACAGGCUAAGAAUGUGAAAGAAUCCUUUUUGAUAAUCGACUGCUGUUUGAUUUGAACUCAGGAUCUCCAUUUGUUUUGAUACAGGGAAAGAGGGCGAUGCCUGGCGAAGUGUGGAGAAACGAUUCAAUCAAAAUGCAGUUAAUGGGAGGCUCUUCAGAGAGAAAUUUGGAACCUGCAUUGGUAUUUUUUCAAAGACAUUUCAUAUAUACUGUACUUGGUAUGGUAACAGUUGGAGCAUAAAGUAACUUUUUUAUAUUAUUUGGCAUAAUAGGAAUGGGAGAAAGCAAGGAAUUUGCUGGAGAGUUAUUCGAUACGUUGGCAAGGCGCAGGAAGAUCAACACAGAAGAUGGUAUAACAAUAGAUGAAGUGAGAGGAUUUUGGGAAGACAUAUCAACUCAGUCUCUUGAUGCAAGGCUUCAUAUUUUCUUUGACAUGUAAGAGGUUAAAUCAAUGGCAGAAGAAAACUAAAAUCCGUCUUUCCAAUUGACUAAUGAUGGUGAAUUUUCACAGGUGUGACAAGAAUGGUGAUGGGAAACUAUCAGAGGAAGAGGUCAAGGAGGUGAGAAAACUUUCUUCCUUCAAUUUUUCCACGUCUAUCUUACUUAAUACGUUUUUUUUUUUUUUUUUUUUUUUUUUUCUGAAAAAAGGUUCUAGUGAUGAGUGCCUCGGCAAACAAAUUGUCAAAAUUCAAGCAACAUGCAGCGACAUACGCAGCCUUAAUCAUGGAAGAGCUUGACCCUAAUCAUUUAGGAUAUAUUGAGGUGAGGAUGGCACGAAAAAGUUGUUGUCGUUUUACUGCUAUUGAUCGUUUGAUUAUCUUGGACCUCAAAGACACCAAUCAUGCUUAUAGUUUCCAACUUUCCAUUACAAUCAUCAUAUUGACGACGAUAAAUCUCCCCGGGUUCUGCCAUAAGAAUUAAUGAAAAUUGCUUAGAGAAACAGCUUCAUUGCGUUGUGUCAAACUAAAAUGGAUGAGGAUAGCUUCUUCUUUAAUUUCUCAUUUUCUACUUUAACAGAUGUGGCAACUUGAAGCUCUACUGAGAGGGAUGGUGGGGGGUUCAGAAGAAGGGGAAAAGACCCUGAAGAGAUCACAAACACUAGCGAAAACCAUGAUCCCGAAAGAAUACAGAACUCCAGUCAGCAAAUUCUUGUACAAGACAUCAGAAAAAGUACAAGAAAACUGGAAAAGAAUAUGGGUCCUAACAUUAUGGUUGUGCAUCAACAUGAUACUCUUCACUUGGAAGUUCCAACAAUUUAAAAGAAAAUCAGCAUUUCAGGUCAUGGGUUAUUGCGUUUGCAUCGCUAAAGGUGCAGGGGAGACUCUUAAGUUCAACAUGGCACUGGUUCUUUUUCCUGUAUGCAGAAGAACUCUUACUAAGCUAAGAGAAACUUUUCUUGGUUCAAUAUUUCCCUUUGAUGAUAACAUCAAUUUCCACAAGAUAAUUGCAUUGGGAAUUGCUGUCGCAACGUUUAUUCACGCAUUUUUCCACACCAGCUGCAAUUUUGUGAAACUAACAACAUGUCCAGAGAGUAAAUUUAUGACGUUUCUUGGAAGCAACUUCGACUACCACCAACCGAGUUACUUGGAACUGGUGGCGUCUAUCCCAGGCGUAACAGGCGUUCUGAUGACACUUUUCAUGCUUUUCUCAUUCACAUUGGCUACACAUUCAUUCAGAAGGAACGUCAUCAAAUUGCCAUGGCCUUUCCAUCAUUUAGCAGGAUUUAACGCGUUUUGGUAUGCACAUCAUCUUCUGGUCCUUGUCUACAUCCUCUUGAUCCUCCAUGGCUACUUCAUAUUCCUUACAAAAGAAUGGUACAAAAAGACGGUAUGUCCCAUCCUAACUUUGCAGUGAGAGAAGAAGUUCAAAUGUACAUCAAUCAUGUUGUUUUGAUAUGAUUAUGGACGUUUAGUUUGCUGACAUUUAAGAUCAAUCGUGCAAUCAAAAAUACAUUUUCUCUGCAGACAUGGAUGUAUCUUGCAGUUCCACUUCUUGCAUAUGCUACGGAAAGAACUCUCAUUGUCUAUGAGCACAGCCACCAUGUCAACAUCAUAAAGGUUUUUGCUUCAGACAAGUCUUAUGUCGAUUCAUCAACUUAUAUCAGUUGAAAAAACUUGCUGAAUUUGCUAAAAAAUUGCAGGCUGUCAUAUAUACAGGGAAUGUACUAGCAUUAUACAUGAGUAAACCUCAAGGAUUCAAGUAUAAGAGUGGAAUGUAUCUUUUUGUCAAAUGUCCAGAUAUAUCAACCUUUGAAUGGUAAAUGAAAAACUAUGCAACGAUCAUUUACAGAUCUGGCUCCUCAUUUUUGUGCUUAGGAACUUCGGUAAAUUUUACAGGCAUCCAUUCUCAAUCACUUCAGCACCAGACGAUGACUAUUUAAGUGUCCAUAUACGUACAUUGGGAGACUGGACUACUGAGCUUAAAACAAGAUUUGAGAAGGUAAUAAAUUUGCUAAACUCGCGUUUCAGAUCACUUUCAUUUGCUAUACAAUGAGUUUUAGAAGUCUAAUGAGCAAAUACUAAGAAAAUUCGUCAAAUUGUUGAUGCAUCCAUAUCAUUAGUGUUUUGAAACUCAACUACUUCAUAGUCGGUGUAUAGAAAUUAAACUCAAUCAUAAGGCGUUAUGGGGCAGGAUAUGCCUAUUUUACUAAGUUUCGGCUUAUUUUUAGUUUUUUCUGAUCUUAAUAAGCUCUCUUUCGCAGGCCUGUGAGCCUCAAACAGCGCAAUCAAGGAAGGGAAGUCUUGUUAGAAUGGAAACUAAAGCAUAUCCAGAUAUUGAACAGUCUCAAUCCGAGUAUGUUGCCAUGUCUAUAUAUGUCUACUGAUUUUCAUGUUGGCGAAACAUAAUGGAACUUAAAUUUUUGAAGCAGAUUUCCAAAGAUCACGAUCAAAGGACCUUACGGUGCACCAGCUCAGAACUACAAGAAAUAUGAUAUCCUUCUACUAAUUGGCUUGGGAAUAGGAGCAACACCAUUCAUCAGCAUUUUAAAGGACCUUCUAAACAAUGAAUCUCAAUCUGUAAGUUCCUAAUGGCAAAACUACAUUUUGCUAAGAAUUUAAAUUAGGGAAACUUAUGUAAAUGUAAUACAAUAAAUAUAUUCUUGUAUAUUAUAUGUAUUAAGUAUACAUUAGUAUAUACAUAUUUUGUAAAAUAGACAAUCCAAAGGCAUUUGGCUGUAAGUUUCCCUUUCAUUUUUAAGAUUACGCUAGUCCUACUUACUAUAGAUAAUUACAAUUGUGUUUUAGCUAUCUUUUAGGCGACCUGAUAUAAAAUUCUUCGAUACAGUUAAACUUUUUUUCUGAUUAAGAAUGAGUAGCGAUGUGAAAACAUAAACCUAACGAAGUCGAAUUUCUGCAGAAUCAGCAAUCUGGUGAAUCGUCAAGCAACAAGAGAGGUCCUCACAGAGCAUAUUUCUAUUGGGUGACAAGAGAACAAGGAUCAUUUGACUGGUUCAAGGGUGUUAUGGAUGAUAUUGCUGAAUAUGACCAUAAUGUAAGUUAAUUUUCAAUAACAUGAAUUACCCACAACUCUAUUAGCUUCCUCACUUGAAACAUAUAAUAGUAUAGUACUUGUAUUAUACAGGAAAUGAUAGAAAUGCACAACUAUUUGACUAGUGUUUAUGAAGAAGGGGAUGCCAGAUCUGCACUUAUUGCAAUGGUGCAAUCACUACAACAUGCUAAAAAUGGAGUUGAUGUUGUCUCCGACAGCCGGGUAUAUUUCCUAUUUGUACAAUUUUAUUGAACUUUUAAAUUUAUGCUACUUAAGUAACGCGACAGUGGAUCCACCAUUGUGUAUUUUACACUAUCAUGAAUAAGGUAAUAGGUUAAAUUACACUACAAGUUGUCGGUACAUAUAACUUAAAUUCUUGCUUUUCUAACACUUACACUGUGACAGAUAAGAACACAUUUUGCAAGACCAAAUUGGAAAAAGGUAUUCUCUCGGUUGGCAGCAGCACAUCCAUCUUCUCGAAUUGGUAAGACAUAAUCAUGAAUGUUUUUUCCUAUAGUACAAAUAACUUAAUUGUGCACUUAAUACAUCCCCCCCCCCCUCUCCUCCCAAAAAAAUAAUAAUUUAAUAUAUGAUAUAUAAAUAAUUGCAGGUGUAUUUUACUGCGGGAGUCCCACUCUUACAAAGCCACUUAGAAGGCUGUGUCAAGAAUUUAGUCUAAAUUCAUCCACUCGUUUCAAUUUCCACAAAGAAAAUUUCUAGAUGUAUAUAGUGCUUUCACAUAUUUAUUUGAAGCUUCACUGAGCUGUGAAUUCUAAUAAUUCCCUGUAAAAAUGUUGCAAUUCUACUGAAAAUAUGUGUUGAUUGAUAAGAGAAAUUUUGGGAAGUUGCAUUUUCACUUGCCUUGCCUUAUCUCAGAAUUUUGGUUGUGAUUUUGUUUAAGUACUCUCCUCGAACAAUAGCUCACGCUAUAAAUAAAAAGUCAAUUCAAUGUAAAAAUGACUCAAUGAUCUUUGAAAAAUUAACCGAUUUCAUCUUGAUAGUUAACUUAUAUACACCGACUCCAACAGUGUAAAUUUAUUUAUUUAUUUAAUAUUUUUUGAAAUUUAGAUGUACCUCAUUUGGAGGGGGGGAAAUGGUCUAAAUGGUCCCUUAAAGUUUGACAGUUUUAAUCCAAUCCCUAAGAUAUGUACAUAAAAUAGACCAAUCAUUGUUGUCUUUCAGUGUAUUUUACUAGUAAUUUUUACAUGUCCUAUAUUUGACUUGUUAAUGAUUUCCAGAUGUCCUUUCAGUUAUAGAUCUUUCUGGUUGUAUUAAGAUAAAUUUAUUCAGUUCUUGGAUCAUGUGAAAAUAAGUAGUACUUUGUUCAUCUCAAUUUAUAUGAUAUUUUUUAAUUCAAAUUAAAACGUAUUAACAGAUUUGAGUUAACCGAGUCUUCCCUGACUUUACGGGGGAAAUAAAAGUGAAAUUUGGAGAUAAAACAUGGUUUAAAAGUCAUUUUUGGCGUAAAGUUGGUUUAGCAAUAUAUUGCUUGAGUGACUACUUAGUAAAAUUUUUAUUCGUAUCCAAUAAGAUAUUAAAUCAGAUUAAUUUAUCAUGCUAAGUCGUAAACUAAGGUGAACAUACUUCUCAACUCCCAACUCUCGUAGGAUAAAUAUUUACUUGCACAAAAUCUUCUAAUCAAACAAUUUAAUCGUAACAGUUAAAAAAAAAUAAGACGAACACUUGACAUGAUUUGUCAUAAUGAUGUUUAUGACAGGCAUACGUGCAUUUAUUUUUUCAAUAUAACAAACUAAAUACGAGUAAAUUUUUAUCGUCUAUCAUCAAAAGAUUUUAGAUCUCUUACCCUCCUACAAGAUUAACUACAUUAUUUCCUGCUUACUUCUUACACUUUAACCUGCUGGUUAAUUAUGGAGGUGCUUUGCUACUAAACAACCGCAAUUACCGAUCGAAGUUUUCUCAAUUUAUUUUAUUUAUCAUGUUUUUUUUUCUUUCACAUGUUUCUUAAAAAAAAUAUUUUAGGACUAAAAUGAUAAUUUCAUUAAAUUAUUCUUACUGUUCUUUGAUCUGAUCAAUUUAAUACCCCUUCAGUCCAUAAUAAGUGGCUUUUGACCUUUUUAUUUUGAUCCAGCAUAAGUGUUUUUUUUUAUAAAAUCAAGAUGGAAUUAAUUUAAUUUCUCAAAUAAUCUAAUUUGCCCUUAUUUACAUAUCACUAAAAAGCCUUUUAAAUUACUCCAUAGUCGAUAUGCCUAUUUUUUUUUAGGAGUAAGUGUUUUCUUACAGGGAUUGUCAAAGACCAAAAGGUAGUUAUUAUGGACUUGAGGGAGCACUAAUUUUUUUCUUUACAAUAUUAAUCUUUUUUCAUAUUUAUUUAGUAAGAAUAAAGGUGAAAACUAAUAAGUAAUUAAACAUAUCUUAUUUGAUAAGUGAGACUUGAGUUGAGGAUUCAAAUUCACGCGGAUAAGUGGGAACAUUAUUGAAACACAUUAUCUGAAUAUUGAUUUGCAUUUUUGUGGUUAAAUCUUCACCCAACAACCAAUUAAACGACUUGAAUAUAAUCAUAUCGAUUUUAGGAGAAAAUCAAACCAAUUAAGAAAAGCAUUUGCACACGUGCAAUAUUAGAAAGUUAGAAGGCUAAGAUGUUUUCCAACUCUCAUAACACAAAGCUACCACACACAAUACUUGAAUCAAAUUAAAGUACACUCUUCAAGCUACUAGUUAUUAGUGAUAUAUAAAGAAAUUUAAGAAGUUCUAAGAAUUUAAGAUUUAUGCACCGUAGGUGUACAAAAUACCCAACACUAUCAAGUAAACUUGAUCUGCUACUGCAAGUUACCCAAUUUUUUCUUUUUCAAUUUUAUGUAAAGAAUUGGGUAACCUGCAAUAGCAGGUCAAGUUUACCUGAUAGUGUAGAAUAUUUUACAUACCGCACAAAACUUAAACUCAAGUUCUAAUCCUUGAAGCCAGUUGUGGCAACAGGGAAAAGUUGUAAUGUUUUUAGAGGUCUGUUAUUGCUGCAAUGGACAUGAAUAUUAGAAGAAGAACCCUCCUGAUCUGUCAUCAACAUCCAAUCCCUACCGUUGGUCUUCAUCAUCCUAUUCUCCCGCAGGUAAUUCAUCAUCAUCUGAGGUGAUGUAUCUGUUCCUUCAACCUACAUAAAGGACAACAUAUUUUCAAAAAAAAAUAUUUAUACUUUUAGACCAUAAGUUUUUUUUAAAAAAAUUACUGGCAAUUUCUUUCUUAAACUUGUACCUAGCUUAAUAUCUCACUGGUAUAAAAGAAAUAACUGUUAGGAUGGGAUACAUAUUUAAGAAAAGAGAAACUUGCAUAUUGUAUUUACAUAUAUUAAACCACAUGCAUGAAUUUACUACGGUUAAGUGAUAAAAUGGGGCAGAUCUAUAUUGCUCCCCCCGUCACAAUUUAUGUGACUUUCUUUGCAUUUUAGUAUUAUAUUAUAUAUCUAUGGGUUCGUGUGAUUCAGAAACUUUUGCUCAAAUCAUAUAUAUAUAUAUAUAUAUAUAUAUCCACUAAUAAAUAUAAUAACAACAAUAUAUAAUAUAUUCCCAAAAGUGGGCAGGGUGGAGCCAAAAGUAUCGAAGAGGAAAAUUAUAUUGUUUAUAUAUAGUUAAAAAUAUUUUUUUUACUACGUUAUACAGUAGAUAUUGAACUUCUUAAGUGAAAAGCCAGGUUCCACCACUGCAACUUUGCAAGUGGGGUCUGGAGAGAGUGGGUGUGUACACGACAUUACCCUACCUUUGUGGGACAAAGAGGUUGUUCCUAUAUAUAGACCCUCGGCUCAAGAAAAUCCACUAAUUAAAUAUCUUAAAAUAUAUGAGUGUGAACUUACUUAUUACUAUAUACAUUACUAAAGCUUAAACUCUUUCCAAAAAUGUAUAGAUUAUUCUCGGAAAGGCGCACGUAGAGAUUAUAGUAGUAUUUAAUUUUGCAUGUACGUGCAUGCACGUCAGUCAAAGCACUCAGACUAUCGUACGAAAUCAUAUGCACGUAGACAAACAUUAAUGGUACCUGACGAAGAAAUAUAGUAGGAGAGUUGGGGUACAGUUGAUAAUUCACAGCAGCAGAAGAAGAAGCAGAAGAAGGAGAAGGAGGGUUAAUUUGGACGUCAUUAGUAGUAGUAGUAAUACUACUUGUGUAUUUCUGCAUUUGUUGAAACAUCUGUUUUCUCAUUUUUUGCCUGUCUCUAGCUUUAUGGUUUUGAAACCAGUAAAACACAUUCUUCCACUGAAUCUUUCCAUACAUAGAGAGAUGGGCAGUUAUCAUUUGUACUUGACAUGAAUUUGGAUUUGUCAAACCUUUUCUGUACAAAUCCUGUAAAAUCAUCAACUGUUGUGGAGUUGGUUUCCACCUAGCCCUAGCCAUUGGCUUUUUGUGACUAACAAAAAAGAUUCUUCUUGAUUUUCCCUUUUUAGGAGUUCAAUUCAAAGAAGUAGUAAAAUUGUGUCUGUUUUUUUGGGGAGAGUAUGAAGUAGUACUAUAAAUAGAUAAAGAAGUAAAGGGCAGGGUAGACGUCAAGUGGAGUGAAAUAAGUAGUCAUGCUGGUGUCAUGAUAGAGAGAAUCCAAAUGAAGUUUGAGGCAAGUCAUUAAAUUAGGUUGGUUGUUGAUUUCUCUGAAUUAUGGACCGUAUUAUUAAUAACUCACUUCACAGAACGAGAAUCAUGCAAACUUAAUUAAAAUGUGGGCCUACAUACAUUUCUUUUCAUUCGGACCGCUUAAUAGGCCUAUUAGAUAUUACUCCCUAUAUGUAUCAUUGAGAUGGUACGGUUUUUACCUUGUUCAUACUAUAAAUUAUUACGGGGAAAGGAUAAAAAUAGCACAAAUAACACUUCAGACGAAGUUAUUGAUACAAAAAUGACUAUUAAAUUUUAAUUUUGUUAUCUAGCAAUUUGAUGGCAGUUUUAUACAAUAUUGAUAGAAAUUUGAUACAUAUCUUAUAGAGACAUCUAUAUAUACACACACACAACAAUGAUACACAUUCUAUGUACAUCAUAUUAAACAAUGCAUAUUUUAUAUAACAAUAAUACAAUUUUUACUCAUACAUUAGUUAUUCGAUUUUUUUACGAAUUGUAUCAGUAUAAUAUACAGAUUAUAUCAAUUUGAUAUAUGAACAAUAUUUCAACAAAACUGAACCAAAAUGACUCAAAUUAUAAAAUGACCAUACUAUGAAAUUUGUUUGGACCGAUUGUCCAUGAAUGUCCAAUGGCCAUGAAAAGGGUCAUUCCAUAUCCUUUUCCCAUUAUUAAUUCCCGCAUAGAAUUCGUUAUACUAUGUUAUAUAUUGUUUGGUUCAUAUAAAAAGUCUUUUUGGGGGUUAGAAUCAUAAGUUUGUUCGUACAUAAUAUUAAACCAGCAUCGAGUUUGGAUUCUUGGAUCUCGUGUUGUACGUGAAUGUCAAUCACAUAAAUAAUAUUACAAUUCAAACAAGAUGUCUAUCGAAGAUUUUCAAUCUAAACCUUGGUAUCUUCGAUCACUCUCAGAGGAUGAAUCACACUUUUGACAUCACAAAAAUACAGCAGUCGAAGAGCUAUGGCUCAGUUGCUUCUCGUAUUACACUGUAUUGUCCUGACAUGUUGCAAGAACGCAGUUGAGUGAAUAGGCGAGGUUUGUGUUUAACUGUCCAUCGACUAAUGGAAGGAAAACUUUCAAAGUUUAAGAUACUGUCUAUAGCUAUACUAUCACUCAAAGGAAACUCACUUCUAGUGUGUUUUGCCCUUUGACACGAUGGCGGACUCAGGAUUUAAGGAUUGUGGGUGCUUAAGAAAUUUAAAAAAAAAAAAAAAAACAGGGAAACACCUUAAGAUCAACCUAAAUGUCAAUGCACCUAACUAAUUUUUUGUUUGAGUGAGUGCUUUUAUAAAUUUUAUACCUAUAUCUAUAUACUUCCUCCGUUUAAAAAAGAAUAACCUACUUUGACUUGUCACAAAGUUUAAGAAAAUAAAGAAGACUUUUGAAUCUUUUGGCCUUAAAUUAAAGUUGUGUCAAAUGUACCAAAAUGUUCUUUAAUCUUGUGGUCCUAUACAUGCCAUGUGGAAAGUUGAAAUUAGAGUAUUGCGAAAAAAGAAAAAAGGUCAUUUUUUUUUAAACGGACUACAAAUGAAACAGACUAAAAAGAAAAGUAAUUCAUUCUUAACGGGUGUAGAAGCACCAAGUUCGCCCCUGCUCUGACAAACAUCAAAAUAUCUAUCCAAUUUAUCACUAUUUUUCUUUAAGCCGAAUGCUAAUUUUGUCACCAAGGAUGUCCCAGUUGCUUGUGCCAAAGACCGAACCAAUAAACAGUUUACGCCUCCGUAGCCCUUUACGUGCGGCACUUUUCAAAAAUACUACACAUCUUACGUAACGUUCACCACUCCACUCAUUUUUCUCGUGGUGGGGUCUUGUAUGGAUAGCAUAAUUAAAUAUGAUAUUACAAUUCAAAUUAAAUUAUCCAUUAGUUGCAACACAACGAAUAAAUUGCAAGUCGUCCAAAACUUAAAGAACAUCCUUCAACCAUAUUGAAUCAAUUUUGUCUAAAUGAACCUUUUCUGUUAGCCAUCGAGUUGCUUCCCUUUAGUAGUCCAACCGAAAAUCUAUAAAUGUCCUAUUGAUCGCACAACCUUUCGGAUUAUCUGUCAUGUGAUCAAUGGCUCCGAAAUCAAUGUUCUCGGGUAAUUAUUAUUCAGGCUUAUCAUCCAUCUUGUCAUUUGUGUUAAUUUUUGAGACUUCAACAUCAUGAUUACAGCUUGUCAAUCCUCAAGAAUCAUCAGUUCUAAGGGUCCUAUCUAGCCUAAGUUCAUCAGACUUGGGUCUAAUGCACUUUUAAUGGUAAUUGACCUCUGUUGCGGCCAUACCUGGCUUUUUAUUCCCUUUUGUAUUGAUUACUUACCUAUCGGGGUAACCAAUGAGAUGAUCACAUAUUUCAAAGUCAUGCCCGAGUUUCUUGCAAUAUGAACACACCACAUUUUUUAUUUCUCCUUUUACCCUGCUCCCAGUGUGAGCAUCUCUUUUGUACUGCGUGCAAAGACCAUGGUAUUACGUACGUACCCCGUUCAUCCAUUUUAUGCGUUGAUGCAAGUCAAGUUGCAUCAAGACCAUUCACAAAGAGUCAUGUUUGGGACUUCCAAGCUCUACAAGAACUAUUCAUGAAGAUGGAUGCUUGAGCACACUUUGAUGUUAAACAAAUUUAAUCUAGUCCUUUAAAAUCAAAUAAGACAACGGAUGCACAUCUAAAUGUGCACUUGAAAAACUGGAGAGAAAAUGUAGUGGUAAGAAGCCGCCGGAUCCUAGUUAACUAGUCUACUGUGACGCCACACCUUGAUGUAAUAUAUUUUUAUUUUUUUUUUAAUUUUUCAAUCCGGUGUCCUGGGGGUAACGCUUCCUACACGAUUUUCUCCAUACUCAAGGCUCGAAUCCAAGACUUCUGAUUAAGGAUGGAGUAGUCUCACCACUACACUACAAACCCAUGUUGGUACCUUGACCUUAUAUUUACUACUAGUGUAUCUUCAAAAGAAAAAAAACACUUUUAUUACCAGUUACCUUUUCACAUUUAGGGCCUGUUUGGGAUUGCUGUUGCAAAACUGUUUAUUUGAGAAACAUUUUUAUAAAAUGAUUUUUCAAAAAAGCGCUAUUAAAAAAAACAGUUUGUGUUUAGUAAAUUCAUUCGAAAAGUGUUUUUGAUAAUCAAAUUAUGUUUGGAUAAUCUUUUUCAAGAAGUGUUUUUUUGAGACAAAUUACCAAAAAGGACAUCUAUCAAUAGACUUUUAUUACUAAAAUCAAUUUAUAGAGAAAAAUUAUUUUAAAUAUCUAUUAUAAUAUUUUUAAUUAAAUUUUUUUAUUUAAUUAAAAAGUAAGUACUCUAGAAUUUUCAAUCAAUAUUUAUAUACAUAAGUACAUUAAAAAAAUUAAAUGGUGAUAUAAUACUUAAAUAAUUUAAAUAAUACUUAAAACAUCAAACUAAAAUGAAUUUAAAAGUUAUUUCAUAAAUUAAAUCACUAAAUAUGAAAAAAUUAACGACAAAAAUAAUUGGUCCUACAUAUAUCACAAAAAUUCUCAAUGAUUUCAUCCCUAAUUUUAUCACGCAAUGUCUCUAAACUUGUAGAACAUCUGUCUUGUAUUUCUGAAGGUAUACCAAAAAGGCUGAUCUUCUUCUUCGAUAUCUGUAAUGAUGUCUUCGUUAGCAUAAUAGUUAAAAUCUUUAUCAGUAGUAGAGUGUUGUCAUAUGAAAUUAUGUAUAGCCAUAGUAGUUGUAACAAAAUGAACUUGAGUUUCGAAUUUAAAGGAUGGCAUUGAACUUAGGAGAGCAAAUCUAUUUUUUCAAACUCCAAAUGUUCUUUCAAUUGUACAUCUCAAACUGGAGUGAAAGAAAUUGAAAGUUUCAUUUGAAUUUCUAAAGUUAGAAUUAUGUAUGAAAUCAGGGAGAUGAUAACGUUCCUCUUUAUAUGAUCCUAAAUAACCAAUUAUUGUUGGAUAAUCCGAGUUUACUAAAUAAUAUUUAUCUACAUCAAUAUAAGAAAAAUUAAUUAAUUAAUAUAAAAAUAAUACAAUUUGUAAAAUAAUGCAAAAUAUAAUAUUAAACUCACUAACCUGGUGGUGGAUGAGGAAAAUUAAGAUUUGAUCUUUUAAGUGCUUGAUCGAAUAUCCUAGCAUUAUGUGCAGUACCUUCCCAUCCAGGCCAUACAAAUGUGAAACACAUGUCCCAAUCACAUACUGUCAUAACAUUUUGAGAAGUGAAAUUUUUUCUACCAAUGUAUUUAAUUUGAUCCUUCUAAGGGACAAUACACGAUACAUGUAUUCCAUCUAUAGCUCCAAUGCAAUUUUUAAAAUGUGGCCAAUACUUUUUAUCUUCUUUUAGUUUAGGAUGUAUAUCAUAAAACGUUGAAUCUUUUGACUUAAUAAUGUCCAUAGCUAAUUUCAAACACGCAUAUAAAACAUGAUGAAAAUGUCUUCUAACAGUUUCUCCCGAAUGUUGAAACCUUUCCUGGAUCAUUCGAUUUCCAACACCAUGACCUAUUACCAUUAAAAACAUAGCAACCAUCUCCUCGAUGGUCAUAUUUCUUGUUGCUUUUAAGCCAUAUUGUUCAUUUCUCUCAUUGAUUGUUUGACAAGUAAAUCACUUGCUUUCCACCAUAAAUCACUACCAACAAUCAUAUCAGGCAAAUUGCGAACUAUAGUCAUUGCAUUUUUAAUACUAAAUAAACUUUCUCUCGACUCCAUUUAGCCUUCUCAACAUUACUCAUUUUUUAUGCAUUAGAGAUAUAUAAUUAAUAAUAAUAACAUUACACAAAAUAGUGAAAUAAAAAUAUUAAUGUCAAAAUAAAAACUUAACAAAAUCAAAGAAUUUCACAGACAAGGAUACUAUCACAUAUGCUAUUAUAUGUAUGCACAUAAAAAAUUUAAUUAUAUCAUGGUAAUUAUAAAAAAAAAACACCUUCAAAUGAGAAAGCAAUUUUGAUUCAAAAAAUAACUUAUUAAUAAUAGAGAUGACUUUAUAUUUUGGAGAGCAGUAAAAUAUAUGUAUAUAUGAGAAAUAUUAUCUGUAUUUAUAGAUGAAGGAGAAGGUGUGCAAUACGCUAAACUCGUUGAAUGAAUAGAAGGUUUGAAGAAAAGAUCAAAUAAAUAUUUAAUUAGAAUCUACCUUCUUUUUGUUACCUUAUUUUUUGGAUUCAUUUUACUUUGUCAAAUUUACUAAAAUUUAGCAAACACUAUAUUCAUGUUUACAAAUAUCUAGAUGAGAUAAUAUUUGUUAUUUUUUAUCUUUUCUUUUGGAUAUGUCUUUACCAUUUCAAUUCUAAAAUUAAGUAGCCAAAUUCAUAUAUGUAUACUACCUGAUGACAAAUAUUUAAAAUAAAAUUCUAUCUAUUAUUUGUUAUCUUUUUUUAAUAUAUUUUUAUGGUGUCAAAAUUUACUACGAAUAAACAGUCAUUAUAUAUAUAUAUAUAUAUAUUAACAAAUAUGUCACUUUUGAUGAAUCAUUUAUUGAAAAUUAAAUAUUCGAGAAAAAAUUUAUAUGUGAUGUCAAAGUACUAUCCUGUAACGUGAUUCAUUUGUCAAUUGUUAUCAUUAAUAAUAAUAAAAUAACUUAUUUAUUCUUUAGUCUAUAUAUAUAUAUAUAUAUAUAUUUAUUUGUAUGUGAUGGGGAUAAUGCUGUCAUAAAAAAAUAAUUUUCUGUUUCUGCUUCUAUUUUUUUUUUAGAAGCAGAAAUUUUCUGUUUCUUUCCAGAAGCAGAAAAACUGUUUCUACUUAUUUUUAAAAGUUUACCAAACACCUCUUUUUUAAAAAAUGUUUUUUCUUCAAAAAUAAAUGAAAUAAGCAAAAUCCCAAACAUGCUAGUUUUACUACAGUGGACUUUUACCGAUCGUUCGACUUUUAAUAACUAUCGGAGUACUAUUGCUAAUUAACUAUAGCUAAUUAUUAUUGAGCCAAUAAUUCUUUUCACUUCUGAACUUUAGUACUAAUACAAUCACACCUAAUAUAUUACCACUUUGUACAACUUUUACAUAGCUUAUUUUGCAUCAAGCCGCCCUUUGGCAGCCAUUUGAGGCGGCUCAUUAUGUGUACUAGUACUAAAUUUGUUAACUGCAAAUUAAAUCCUUUGAAAAGAAAAAAUAAAUAAAUAGAGGAAAAAAACUAUUGUCUUUUAUACUAGUUGCUAGCUGGCUUUCAUUACGUUAUGCACUCAAUUGAAUUCAGUUACCGUACAAUAUAUUUAAAUUACCUUUUAAAUAUUCAGUAAAUAUUUACAUUCGUUUAUUACAUUUUCAUCAGAUAUGUAGGUAAAAACAUAAAUCCAAUGUACAACAACUUUUUGUCUAACUACCUAAUUAAACAUUGAGGUCAUUCAAUCACAUGACCUAAGCUGAAUUUUGUAUGCAUCAUUCCUUUGUCGUUCUAAUCAAAAUGCUAAAGACAGACAAAUUGUACGUACUAAGCCUUAUUUCAAGUGUAUAGUCUGUUAUUUUGAUCUGUUUAUGUUGAAAAUUUUGAAAUAGUAUUUUAUAAAAAAAAAAAUACUUUUAGAUAGUAUGGUAGUUUGUGUUUUGCUAAUUAAUUUGAAAAACUGCAAGAAUAAUCCUAUUAUAAAAUGGGAUAACAUGCUCAAUAGGGCAUGAUCGAGUUCUAUUAUCAUACGUGCCCCCACCCCAAAAACCCCCCUAAUCGCUUGCUAAUAUUAGUAGUACUUUGUGUGUUAAAAUAAGAGAUAAUAUUUGAAAAUUUUCUUCUAUUCUAUAUUCCUUGCCAAUCACCUUUUUUUUAUACAAGCUAAAAUAAUCUUCUCUUCUAAGCUAAAUAAUGAAACUAAAAUAAUAAAAAGACAAAGAAGAAACUUCUCUUCUAAGCUAAAAUAAAGGGACCCACUAUUCUAAGUUGGCCCAUGUGUAUUUUGUCUAACAUUCCCCCUCAAGUUGGAUGGGAAAGAAGUGACACCCAACUUGCACAAAUUCUGAUGGUGAGAGGGUCUGUCAAGAAAUUUGGUGAAGAUGUCUACGAGUUGAUCUUUAGAUGGAACAAAGAAAAGAGAUAUCAAGCCGAAGAGAUAUUGUUGACGAACAAAGUGGAAGUCAAGCUCGACAUGCUUCGUUCGCUCAUGGAAAAUCGAAUUUCGAGCUAUAUGUAAGGCUGCUUGACUGUCGGAGUGAAUUGGAACAGGAAUUGGUGGAGGGAUUGCUAGAUCGGUGAGUAAUCUUGUUAACCAGGUCAAUUCAGAAAUCAAUCAUCGCAUUAAGCGAUAUUCUUCCUCGACAGAUAAAAGAGAGACAGAGGAUUGCUUCUUCGACUUUCAAGAAAUUGGUGAGCCAUCCAAGCUGAUGAAAAACCCACUAACCGAUCGGCGUGUAGUCAGGCAAGAAGCCCAAUCGGCAUCGCAGUAAGCAUGAAGAGAAAAGUAUGAAGAAGCAUUAAGAAAUAUCCCCUGAUUUGGGUAAGUUCUCAUGUAACUGAUCACUCUCAAGCCUGCUUGAUAAUGAUCAUGACUAGGCUGUUACAGAUACUGACUAAGGGUCAAUACAGCAAAGCAUAGAUCCAGUCUGGUAUGAGUUAAAUAAUUGAGCUUGCUAAUGAGAUGUCUAUAAAGACUAGUAUCUGACAUGAGAUUGGUUGAUUUUGAAGGAAAUUUCACUGAAGGUUCUAUCGGAGAGGAAGCUGGAGGAAAAUGAGAAACAUCAAACUUAUUAAGCAAGUCCAAGGUAUACUUUCGUUGGCUCAAAAUAAUUCUUUGUUCUUCUCUUAAAACUUUCAUUCCCAAAAUAUAACUCAAAGGACCUAGAUUUUUAAUCUUGAACUCAGUUUGAAGGAAAACUUUAAGGUCUUUUAUUUUAUUAGUAGCAUCUCCUGUGAUUAAGAUAUCAUCAACGUAUACUGCAACAAUUAAAAUGGAAUCCCCUGAGUGUUUAAAAAACAGGGAGUAGUCAUUCAGUGAAACUGUAUAACGUUUGAAAUUUAAAGCCCAUACAAGCCGGGCAUACCAUUGCCUGGAAGCCUGCUUCAACCCAUAGAGAGACUUCUUGAGUCGACAAACCAUGUUAGGCUGAGGUGGAUCUAGACCAGCUGAAAACUUCAUAUAGACCACUUCUUGAAAAUUUCCUUGCAAGAAGGCAUUGUUCACAUCAAAUUGGGAAAUAUCCCACCCCUUCUUGGCUGCAAUUGCCAAAAGGCAUCUGAUAGUGGUCAUUUUGACCACUGGGGAGAAGGUUUCAUUGAAAUCAACCCCUUCCUUUUGAAUAUCACCUCGAAUUACCAAUCUAGCCUUUAAUCUUUCAAGAGUACCAUCUGCAUUUUGUUUAAUUUUAUACACCCAUUUGCAAGGUAGUGUCUUUCUACCUUGUGGUAAAUGAAUAACUUCUCAGGUUUGAUUAAGUAAUAGGGCAUCAAUCUCAUCCUUCAUUGCUUGUACCCAACCAGGAUGGGUACAGGCUUGUGAAUAGCUGCUAGGUUCAGUAAUAAAGAGAAUAGAAUUGAGAACAACCUGAUUGGGAGCUGAUAGUUCAGAAACAGAUAAAUAAACAGGGGUAGCAGCAACAGUAAAACAUGAGUGAGUAACAUCACUUAGAUAAACACUAUUGCAAAUGUAAUCUCUUAAGUGAGCAGGCAAAUUCCAAAUGUUUGUCCUUUGAGAUCUCCUCGGAGGUGUUGAGGGUUGUGAAUCAGUAGAUUCAGAAGAUGUUGAUGUGGAUAAAUCAGAUGAUAAAUUAAUAAGAGAAUUGGAUGGGUCUUGAGAGUUAGAAUGUGGUGAAAUUAAAUCAUCAGAAGGAGAGGGAACGAAGGAAUGAUCAUCCCCUGUAGGAGUAGGAAAAACAAAAGAGAGGAUAUGAGAAUAAUCUUCAGCAAAAGGAAAAAUAUCUUCAAAGAAAUGGACAUCUCUGGACACAAAGAAUUUUUCAGAAGAUAGGUCAAGGAGUUUGUACCCCUUUUGAUCACUUGGGUAUCCUAAGAAAACAUACCUAGUGGCUCUAGGAUCAAAUUCACUCCUUCCAUGAGAAAAAGUGUUAGCGAAACAUAGACAACCAAAACAUCUUAACAAAUGAUAAGAAGGUGUGUUACCAAAUAGGAUUUCAUAAGGUGUUUUACCUUUAAGAACUCUGGAAAGCAGCCUAUUGAUUUGAAAUGUGGCGGUGAGUAUACACUCACCCCAAUAUAUCAUCGAAAUCUUAGAUUGAAACAUCAAAGCCCUAGCAAUUUCAAGCAGGUGUUUGUGCUUCCUCUCAGCUACCCCAUUUUGUUGUAGGAUAGUAACACAAGAUGUCUGAUGUAUAAUACCUUGAGAUGUCAAAAAAUUUGAUGCCUCUGUACUCCUACCCAACUCCAUUGCAUUGUCAAAUCUGAUAAUCUUUACCUUUUUGUGAAACUAUCUUUUAGCAAUUUUCAGGAAACAUUAAAUAACAGAAACUGCAUUACCUUUAGUUGCUAGCAAGUAUGUUCAAGUCCCUCUACUGUAGUCAUCUACUAUAGUCAAAAAAUACCUAUAAUUGUUAUGAAUAGGUGACUUGUAGGGACCCCAAGUGUCUACAUAAAUCAGAUAAAAAAAUGGAUUGAGAAGUAACUUGCUUGGUAGGAAAAGGUAAUCUAGCUUGCCUAGCUAAAGGACAUAUUUCACAAUGACAAUCAUAAUUAGAGAGAACUGUAAGGAAAUAGACAUUUUUCAUUGAUGAAUAAGGCAAAUGCCCAAGUCUUACAUGCCAUAACCUUACAUCAGAAUUAGCAUUGAAACAGACUGAAAAACAAUGUGAAUCUGAAUUGGGAUUAGAAACAGCAUUGUUAAGUUUAGAAAAGACUUUAGAAUCCUUGUAAAUCUCUUAGUUCCUAUUAGACUCCUUAGAAAUAAUUUGAAGCAAGUAUAGACUUUCCUUUACUUCACCAAAAGUUUAAGGCCUCUUCAUUAAAGGGCCCUAUAAGACACAACUAUUAGAAGUCAAGGAUAGAGUAUAACUGUAUUGGAGAUUAAAUUUAUGAACUGAGAGUAGAUUGUAUCUAAAACUUAGAACAUAAAGAACAUUAUGCAAUGUGAGGUUAUUAGGAAUUAGAACACUUCCUGUGUGAGUCACAAAGGUGGACUGAGAGUUGGGUAAGUUAAUGCUAACAAGAAUUUUAGAGCCUUCAUGGAAAGAAAAGAACUAGAGUUGUAACAUAUGUGCUCAGAAGUACCUGAGUCUAUUAUCCACGUUCUAGAAUUAAAAAUUGAAAGACAAGUUUCAAUAUAUUUAAGCAUGGUACUAGCAACUGCAUCAGCAUUUAUCCCAGAUGAUCCCUUUGUUGAUUUCUGUUUUGCCAUUUGAAUGAAAUGCUUGCAUUGUUCUUUGGUGAAGUGUUGAUUGACUAAAUUCAUGUCAAUUAUAUGCCUAUCGUCACCUUUUUUUCCAGACAUAACUGUAUUUUCUCUGAUCUGAACCCGUUCAGUUCUAUUGUUUGUGAAAUAAAAAUCUUCUAGAAAAUCAUGUAACAUGAAGCAAUCAUCAUCUACAUGCCCAGUCUUACCACAAAAAAUCAUAAGACGCGUUAGGAUUAUACUUCUUCUUAACCCUAAGCUUCUAUUGUGAUUGAUUUGUUCCUGUGUAUUUGGGUAACUGUUGAUGAUUGUUCAAUCUUGGGUAAUUCAAUGAUCUAAUUCCAAAAUUAGGCAUAGCACCAGGGGUUUUCUGUACGUUUUUGUCAAAUUUAUUUUGACUCACGUUACUUACCAUAAAAGAAAAAGAAUCAGUUGGGAUCAUGCCACUGAUAUAGGUUUCUCUCUGACUUUCAUCUUGUAAAAUCAGAGAGUAAGCAACAUUUAUUUUGGGCAGAGGAUUCAUCAUUAAGAUGUUUCCUCUUGCCUGAGCAUACACAUCAUUUUGACCCAUAAAAAAUUGUAUAAGUUACUCAUUUUCAAGAGACUUUUCCAGCUUUAAUUUACCUUCAGAGUUACACACACAGGUGCACUUAUCAGACUUGAGAGAUUGCAGCUCAUGCCAAAGUCUCUUAAGUUUUGUGAAAUAUCCUGCAAUGUCAUUAUUUCCUUGAACUAACCUAUUUAGUUCUUUUUGCAGGUGAAACAAUUUAGCUCCAUUAGAAUGUCCAAAUCUAUGCUCUAGACUAAUCCAUAAAUCUUUAGCAGUUCUAGAGUAUAUCACACUAUCAGCAAUAUCUUUGGAAAGAGAGUUAAGGAGCCAAGACGUUACCAUGUCAUUGCAUCUGUUCUGAGAUUGCAGAUCUGGAGACUGGGAUCUGGUGAAGUAUUAACACCGGUGAUAAAACCAAGCUUAUUCUUGGCUGACAGUGCUAUAAGCACUGAUCUCUUCCAUCCUUGAUAACCUUUUCCAUCAAAUAGAAUGUUAACUAAGGCCAUUUCAGGUGAAUCUGAAGAGUGAAGAUAAUAAACAUGAGUAAGAUCCAUAAAUGGUGGAGUUCUAGCAGUAGAACCAGAGGAUGUUGAAGAAGUAGUGACUCCAUCCGCCAUUAUAGAGAAAGGUCAGAUGAAGAAAAUUGAUGAUCGAGAGGAUGAUUUAUAUGAAACUACCUUAUCUUGUGAUACCAUGUUAAAAUAAGAGACAAUAUUUGGGAAUUUUCUUCUCUUCUAUAUUCCUUACCAAUCACUUUUUUUUAUACAAGCUAAAACAAUCUUCUCUUCUAAGCUAAACAAUGAAACUAAAAUACUAAAAAGACAAAGAAAAGCUUCUCUUCUAAGCUAAAAUAAAGGGACCCACUAUUCUAAGUUGGCCCAUGUUUAUUUUGUCUAACAUUGUGCUUGACCAAUAUUUCGAAAGUAUUUUCUGAAAAAAAGUAUUUUUAAUUUGGAAAAAAUAAUUUCUACUACUUCUCAAAAAUAUUUAUAUUUCUCUAAAAUAAGCAUUUUCAAAAAUAAAUUAAUAUUUUAAUUUCUUGAACCCCUGACCUAAGUUACACUCGUCCGGCCCGGCGGCCCAUGGUGUUGGAGUUAGGCAUUUAUCUUUAUCUCGAUCGUAUAUAAAUAUCGGCAAAAUAUCAUGUUGGAGUUGGGCAUUAAUCUCUAUCUCAUUACUAUAUAAUAGAAGCGGCCAUGUUGGAGUAGCUUAGGGUCGUCCUGACUGCUUCAGCUGCCUGCUUCUGUUGCUUAAAGCGUAAUUUUACUAUAUCAUCAUUAAUUAAUUAUUAUAAAUUAUUUCACUUAUUUAUUAUAAUAUUAAUAAUAUUUAAUAAAAGGAUAGUUUUCAAAAUGACUACUAGGUUCCUCAAAGUUUCACUUAUUAUUAUUCGAGGAUGUUUUUUUCAGCUACUUCAAUCGUAAUUUUAAUGUAUCACUUCUAAUUAAUUAUUAUAAGUCAUUUACAUAUUCAAAAUUAAUACUCACUCUGUUUCAUAAUAAAUGAAUUGUUGAAUUAUGGCACACAGAUUAAGAAAAAAACAUUAAAGGCAUAAAUUUAACACAACUUUCUAUUUUUACCCCAAAAAAGAAAAAACUGAUCUUGUAAUACCUUUUCAAAAGUUAAUUGGUUGUCAAAUCAUAAAGGUAAAUUUGGAAAAAAAUUCAAUGAUUCACUUAUUUUGAAACACCAAUAAAUAUCUCAACAAUUCACUUAUUCCGAAACGGAGAGAGUAAUAUUUAAUAUAGACAAAAUAUACAUCCAUGGGGAGGACAUAAACCUAACCUCAGCCAAACACAAAACAAAAUUAGAUAAAACAACAUCAAUAAGAAAGAAGAGUACGACUUAAAUAGCAGAGACCAAAUAAAUGAGCUUUUGAGAUCGUCUUAAAUCUGAAAGAAGCCAUUUCCAUCAUAGUAUCAAAUUUGUAGGGUCAGAUGGCUCCUUUCGGAAGAUCCUUAUGGCCCAGAAUUAAAUACUCCUUUCGUCUCAGUUUAUGUGACAUCUUUUAGAUUUCGAAAUUCAACAAGUUUUUCUUUGAUAGUAAUGAUUUCAACUAAGGGGGUUCAAUGUUUAAAGAAAAACUAGCCGAAUGAGGUUCAACACCUACUAUAAUUACAUAAAGAAUAAUUUUAAUCAUGUAUAAAUGAGGUAUUUUUUCGUCGAAGGAGGUUCAGAUGAAACCCUACCACAGGGCUGACUUUGCCCCUAGUGAAUUGUUAAUUAUUGUAAUUUAUAAUAUUUUUUAUGUAAUUUUCAGAUCUUUAAGUUUUAUUUAAAAAAUUUAAAAUUUCAUGACCAAAUUCACCAUCAAUUCCAUGACUCUCCAAAUUUGAACUAUGCCAAUAUAAACUGGGAGAGAGAGAGCAGUUAUUGCCAUCAAAGCUCCAUUUAGCCAAAGCAUUAUUAAUCUGAUUUUCUUUAUCUAAAGAAAUGUUGAACCUGGUCUGGAUAUCCAACGGUUGAUAAUCUAUCUUUGAUGUUUGCUAUCAGUCAAUAAAGAGUCACAUUCUAAGAAAAGAGGUCAACAAUAAGGCAAAGAACAAUUAACAUACAAUGCAUAUGAGAUUAAUUAAGAAAAUAAAUACGUUUGACUUUUCAGACGUUUGAAAUAACUGAACUAGUAAUCUUUUAAGCGUUUAAUUAGUAUAAUUCUACUAAAGUUUCUACUCUUUUAACUUUUUACUCCUAGACUCCAAAUAGUAUGGUACAUGAAUCAUUAUAAUAUGUAUAGCAUAAGUACUUAAUAGGAGUACUAUACUCACUUUCUUGAAGUUAAAAUAAUGAGAAAAGACAAACUUGUCGUCGCAACUCAAUUUAGCACUUAAACUUAAUUUCCAUUUAUUUAUUUUCUUAACACCUUUCAAAUGAAUUAAAUUCCCCCUUAUAGCUGACGUGGUNNNNNNNNNNNNNNNNNNNNNNNNNNNNNNNNNNNNNNNNNNNNNNNNNNNNNNNNNNNNNNNNNNNNNNNNNNNNNNNNNNNNNNNNNNNNNNNNNNNNNNNNNNNNNNNNNNNNNNNNNNNNNNNNNNNNNNNNNNNNNNNNNNNNNNNNNNNNNNNNNNNNNNNNNNNNNNNNNNNNNNNNNNNNNNNNNNNNNNNNNNNNNNNNNNNNNNNNNNNNNNNNNNNNNNNNNNNNNNNNNNNNNNNNNNNNNNNNNNNNNNNNNNNNNNNNNNNNNNNNNNNNNNNNNNNNNNNNNNNNNNNNNNNNNNNNNNNNNNNNNNNNNNNNNNNNNNNNNNNNNNNNNNNNNNNNNNNNNNNNNNNNNNNNNNNNNNNNNNNNNNNNNNNNNNNNNNNNNNNNNNNNNNNNNNNNNNNNNNNNNNNNNNNNNNNNNNNNNNNNNNNNNNNNNNNNNNNNNNNNNNNNNNNNNNNNNNNNNNNNNNNNNNNNNNNNNNNNNNNNNNNNNNNNNNNNNNNNNNNNNNNNNNNNNNNNNNNNNNNNNNNNNNNNNNNNNNNNNNNNNNNNNNNNNNNNNNNNNNNNNNNNNNNNNNNNNNNNNNNNNNNNNNNNNNNNNNNNNNNNNNNNNNNNNNNNNNNNNNNNNNNNNNNNNNNNNNNNNNNNNNNNNNNNNNNNNNNNNNNNNNNNNNNNNNNNNUAUAUAUAUAUAUAUAUAUUAUAUAUAUAUAAAAAAAUAGUAUAUAUAAAAUAUAUAAAAAGUUAGUGUGUGGGAUUAUUAAAAAAAAAUAAAAAAUCUUACGUGGCAAAUGACAUGAUACUGAUUUGGCAAUGACGUGGCGCGUGUGUAACGCACUCUCCGUCGUGAGAGUGGUAUUCAGUUUUGAGGGGUGAAAAUAAUUCACUUUAAAGAUAUUAACGGAAAUAAAUAAACAGAAGUUAUAUUUAAGUGCUAAAGUAAGUUGUGACGACAAGUUCAAGGGAAAAGAUAUCUUUUCUCUAAAAUAAUUUAUUUAAGAAAAGAAAGCGAAAAUAGUAGAGACAAGUGGCAGAUGCAUUAAUAGAGUACAUGAGUAAUGAAGUCAUGUGGUCAUCGUACCUGAAGUGGUGGGCGUCAUCUGGGCAUCCAAAUCCACAAAUUCAGCAACUUUUUGUAUACAGUGCUCGUAUUUACUACCCCUUCAAUUUCGAGCAUACGCGUUUGGGUUUAGAGGUGUUAAGCUUUUUAUUAUUCUUGCAUUGCGUUAUUUUUUCACAAGACUUUCUCUACAAUAUGUCACUGUAGUAGAGCUUAAGUGGAUACAGAAUUUAGGGUACGGAUAGGUGGGGGCAGUGACAGAGCCAAAAUUUUUACCAAGGGGGUUCAAAAUAAAAAAACAUAGGCACACGAACUAGCCGAAAAGGAUUCAACAUUGAUUAUAUAUACAUAAAAAAGAAUUGCCACUAUAUGGAAAUAGUAUAAUUUUCCGUCGAAGGAGGUUCGGAUGAACCCCCUAAUCACAAGGUGGUUUCGCCACUGGGUGGAGGUUUUCGGGAAUCCAGUAACUUUCGUACGAUUCUUGUAUUUAUAUUAAAAAAUCUAGUAAAUCUAUAAAAAUUAUAAGCUAGAACCUCAUAAAUGGAGUGUGUUAUUCAUCUAAUGGUAAAGACAGAGCUUUGUAGGUCUCUUAGAUGUGGGUUCUAACCCCGCCACCUACUAUAUUUGAUCUAUAUUUGAUUUUUGUUUUGUCCAAGGAACCUAGAAACUUUUAAUACUUGAUCGUCCACACGUAUUGACGUCCAAAGGUUUAAGGUUCUGCCGGAAAAUCAAAGUACUUAACUAUCUUCUUGGUUUUCUAAGUGUUUUUGAAGCUUAUAUCAAUUUUUAUACUUUUUUUAUAUAAUUAUACCUAAUCUGCAUCAGAUUUAAUGAGUGUUGGAGCAACAAAAACAUGUAUAUAGAUCCGCCCUGAUUCCUAACUCUAUCCCUAAGACUCUAGAAUAUUAGUGGUCAUGAGGCUCUAAUUCUUCUUAACCGUAUGGCCUUUGUAAGUAAGUUAAGAAAAGUUUUAUUGUAAGUAAAAUAACUGUUAUGAUCGGACAUAAUAAAGCAAAUCACAAGUAGAAAGAAAAAGAAAAAUACACAGAUUUACGUAAAAAUUCUUGUGGCAAAAAUCAAGACAGAGAAAUUCACUAUAACGGAGAGUACAAUGUGGAGACGAAUUGUCUCAAUGACGUAUUUUUCUGAAUGCAUAAAACAACCCACUGAAUGCAAUUAUAUAAUAUGUGCAUACAAAUAAGUUUUAGGUCCAAAACAACCUACUAUCGGCCCAAUCCUUACGCUGCCACUACAGACCGCAUUGAAAAUCACAAACAUGGAUCACACCGUGAAACUUUCUAGAUUGAAUUAACAAAAUUCGGGUCACAACUAUAACAACAAUUGAAAAAGAUACUUUAGGUAUGCAGAGUGUAACUCCCUAAGAUAAAAAUACGAUAUUUUUCUGUAUCCCAUUUGAUUGACAGAAUAAAGAAUAUAGUCUCAUAAAAUGUUGUUAUCCAUUCUAUCCCGCAAGCAAAAUAACCAAAUGGAGUUUGAAAAUGUUGAUAAAUUUAGUUGAAAUCUUUAAUAGUUGUGUACGUGAGAGAUAUGUACCGUGAUUUUCCAACAAAUUAAUACUAGUCCUGUAAUAGUAAAGGAUCUGUUCAUGAUUGAUUAAAGAUAUGUGAAUUAAUAAACACCAAGCAGGGGAGACACAUAAUUGAAAGCUUUGUACGAUAGCUGAAGUGAAAAUUCAAUGCUUCUGAGAAGAAGCCAAUAAUAUAUGGCCACAUUUCAUCAAAAAUACUAUAUUAAUUAAUUAAUAAUAGACUAACGAAUUGAAUAUGACAACGUCAUUAAUACGCUGACGAUGCUCUCUAAAUUUCUUACGUCAUCAUAUUGAUAUGACCUUUUAUAUAUAUAUAUAUUUUAUAUGACCUUAUAGUAUAAUAUGCUUCAUCCGUUCUUUUUUCACUUACCUUAUUAAUUUAUUUUCAAAGUAUUGAAUUACUGAUGUAUAUUGCAAAAAUGACAUAAGUAAUAAAAUUAUAUUUUAUUUUUUACUUUUUAAGUGGUGUAUCAAAUUAAUAUUAAAGUUUUAUUUAUUAUUUUUUUGUUUGCAUAUAAUUUUUAAAAAUUAUAAAUAAAAUCUACUUUUAAUUAAAUUAUUCUCGUCUCUCGAUAAAAAUAUAAUUUUUUUUAAAAAGGAAUAAAAGCUAAUUUCAUCUUAAGUUUGUAAAAUGACAAGCAUAUUAGGAUAAAUAUUUUUAAUAAGGAGUACGCAGUUUUUAUCGCAAUCUCAAAUAAAAUAAAAAAAUUAUUUUUGAUAUAUUCAAACUCAGGACAAAUAACAGUAUAUUUAGAAGUUUGUUUUAUGAAAUUUUCAUUAUGAUUGUGCUUUGAAAUUCUAGUUUGACUACUAUUACACUUUAACUAUGUAGUUACUUAAUGAUGAUAGUAUUGAAAAUAAAUAAAUAAAAUCUCUUUAUUAAUUUGGUAAAAUGGAUAAGCAAAAUGGAAAAUAUAUUUUUAUACAAGAGACAAAUAAAAAAGAAUGGAGAGAGUGUAUAACUCUUCCUAACAAGUUUAAUAAAUGAUAACUUAAAAAUUUCCUCCAUUUUAAUUUAUUUAUAAAACUUUCAUUGAUAAGUCAAAGUUUAUGAAAGUAAAAGAAAUUUUAAAUUUUGUGAUUUUAAAUAAACACAUAUAAAAUAUAGCAAAUGCUAUUUACUAUAUUUCCAAAUAUGGCGUAUAAAAAUUUAGAAUUAAAAAAUUAUCAAAAGAAGACAUUCUUUUCAAAAUAAACUACCAAAAAAGAAAGAGAAAUAAUUGAAACGUAGGGAAUACUAGAGUAAUAGUGUAACUUGCUAUAUAUAUAGAGUGAAAUAAAUUGAAAAUAUAGAGUGAAAUAAAUUGAAGUAGUAGUAUAAUACUUAUUACAUUGUUAGUGUAUAACUCUCAAAUCUUUACAAGAAAAUGACUAUACAUGUCUAUAUGAGAUAUGAUCUCCCUAAAAAGACCUAGUAUUCGGAAAUGUGUAGGAAUUUCUUUAUUUUAACUAAAUAAUGGAUCGAAUAUAUAUUACAUGAAUUUGUAGACACUAGACGAAGGUUGUGCUACUAGGUAUGGAGAAGUUUUUUCAAUUUUUAAUUGUUCGAUUGAUCAAAAGUUUUGAAAAACAUUUUUCUCUUAGAAAUUUUUUUUAUUAAAAAUUAGUAAAAAUACUUUCCUUGUGAAAGAAGGAAAAAUAAAUUUCAAAAAUGAUAUUCUACAUUUGAGUCUUCACCACUACCGUAUCUUCUAUUUUCAUCAUCUCAUACCUUAUCCACUUAUCAUAUUACUUAUCUAAAUUAUAUACAAAUACUUUUAUGAAGCUAAAUCAAGAACAAUCUUAAUGAUUUCUCAUCACAAGGCUUCAGCCUUCAAGUAAUAUGGUCCUUGCAAGCUAAAGGUACGAAACUCUAUUUUAAUGAUUUCUCAUGUAUAUUUAUGUAAAAGAUAACUACCCAAUGUCCUUAUAUUUUAUUGGAGUCGUCAUCUCAUUUAAAAUAUUAUAGUACUGUAUUAAAAUAAAUAAAUAAAUUUAUUUAUUUAAUUAGAUUCUUAAUACACUACCCAAUGUCCGUAUUGUCUUGUUUUGGGAUAGCCAUUAGAAGGAAAUAUGUUUUUGAUCAUUUAUAUAGUUGAAGGGUAUUUUUUAGUUUAAAAUAUUAGGAUAAGAUAAUUUUAAUUCUAAAAUGUAAUGAGAGAUAAAUUUAACUUAUUUUAAAUAAGUCAGAGUAUUUUUUCCCCUUAUUCUAUAUGUGAUAAUAAACUCAACUUGUUUUGUGUAUUUAAUCGUUAUUAUGAAAAGGAAUGGUAAAUUUUAUUACUCGUACUAUAGUAGAAGAAGUCAGUUAACUGUGACAAGAAAUAAUUUUCAGUAGUGUAAUAUUUUUCAAUUCUAAAUUCUGUAAUAUUUUUUUUUAUAUAAAAUUGCCAACACCUUUCUGCAUGGCAUUAAUUGUGGGCCAGGCAUGAUGAAGGAUAUUGCUACUUUAUUCCGGUGUGACGUUAGAUGAUGCUGUCAUCUGUUUGAUACUUUUGAGAUUGUACGUGACAUAAUUAUAUACUCCAUCACGUUUAAAAAAUGACUUAGAGGUGUUUUGAUCAACUUAUAAGUCACUUUGUUUCUUAUAAUGAUAUUUGUUAAAGUUAUAAGUUAGCUUAAAAUAAGUUCAUUUUGAUUUUUUUUAUGCCAAAAUCAAGAAGCAGCCAAGUAGGUGCUUAUUCUUUUAAAAUUUUAAUUUGACUAUGUAAAUUACUAUUAUGUCCCUUACAAUUAUAUGUUAUUCUAAUUUUAUCCUUAAUCAACAAUCUUAUUUUGUCUUUCAAAUAAAUAAAUGGGCUGAUUAGCCCCGCUUUGAAUAAAAAAAAAUUAAUGAUAUGAAAUCUUAACGUAACCAUGAAGAAAUAAAUAAUCGUUUAAUAUAUAAUUAUAUUUUUCAAAUACAAACAUUCAACACUUUAGACUCUUACAAAAAAUAUUUUUAGCGCACAAAUUAAUAGUCAUUCAUGAAAAUAUCUUUUUAAUAUAUAUAUUAAAAUAUAUAUUUAUUUUAAUUUGAAUCAUUUUAGCAAUAAAAAUUAAUAAUAAUCAACUCUAUAUAUUAUUAACAACUAUAAGGAUAUUUCAGUCAUUUUAACAAAAAAAGUGUUUAAAAGAAUUAUUUAUCAAACAUAUCAAUAACUUUUUUUAAGUUUCAGCACUUUUAUCCAAACACUUAACUGCUUAUUUUUAAAAUAAGUUUAGCACUUUCAAAAGCAUUUUUUUUCAGACGCUUUUUUUCAGCUUAUUAUUUUGAUUUUAUAUGAAGUUUAAGAAAAAAAUUAAAAUUUAUAAUUUAAAAUUUAGAUUAUAUAAAAUAUAUCGAAGUAUCUUUAAAUCUUGUGAUCUUAAUAUAUAACGUGAACAUACAAUUGAAAUUAAAAUAGUAUAAAACUUUUUUAAAAUAGACGAAAGUAUGUCAAAUCUUCUUAAAACGGAGAGGGUAUAUCUUUUUAAAAGAAAAAGAAAUAUAAAUGAGGUUGCUUAGAAAAGUACUUUCUGUGUCGCUGUUCCAAAUUUAUGGUGUAUUUUUAUUUAUAUCACUUCCUCCGUUUAAAAAAAAUAACCUACUUUAACUUGACACAAAGUUUAAGAAAAUAAAAAAAAAAUUGAAUCUUGUGGUCUUAAAUUAAAGUUGUGUCACAUAUACCAAAAUAUCCUUUAAUCUUAUGGUCCUAAACACGUUACGUGGAAAGUUGAAAUUAAAGUAUUGCCAAAAAAGGGAAAAAGGUCAUUCUUUUUUUAAACGAACUAAAAAGAAAAGUAGACCAUUUUUUUUAAACGGAAGGAGUAUUAUUUUGAAGAUUACUUAUAUGUAAUUUUGUUAAAUAUUAUGAAGGGGAUGAAAAGAUUAGGGGGUGGGAUUUGGGGGGCUUAGGUAGGUGGAUGGAGAGGAGACAAUAAAUUAAUUUAAAAUGUCACUUAUAAAAUUUAUUUUUCUAUUUUUACGAUAAAAAAAGUCAUUUUUUUCUUAUUUUUAAGAAAUUUAUUUUCUAAAGAAAAUAUUUUGACCAACCAAACUCCAAACAUGAAAAUAUUGAAAGCAAUUUUCUGAUAGUUCCAAACACGUCCUUAAUGCUAUUUGAAAUAUAAUUGAAAAUUAAUUAUUUUUUAAUGCGAGACUAAAAUUUGAACAAAAUUACCCCAAGACGAAAUAUAGAGUAAGUUCAAAAUAAUUUAUUGAAGAAUUUCAGAAAACCAAGAUAUUUUCUUGGAAUUUUGAACUACCACAGUGAACGCUUCAUGAAUAUACGGAGUUCAAAUGGUAGAUGGCAGCUUAACACAUCAAUAUAACAACAACAUACUCAGUAUAUUUUCAUAUAGUGGAGUCUGGAAAAAGCAAGUGUACGCAAUUCAUACCACUAUUUCAGAAGCGAGGUAAAGAGGCUAUUUUCGAUAAACUUCAGCUCACAGUUCAUCACUUCAUGGAAGUUCUUGAAAUUCUUAAUUGUAAAACCAUGAAUUCAUGCAUAACAAAUCAUAGAUCUUUUUUCGUUGGGUUUGAAUUUUGAAAGCUCCUUACAUAUAUACGAAACUCCAGAACAAUAUACUGAAGUUUAGAAUUUUUACACCCAAGAUUGUGGUGGAGUGAUAUGCAUGAUUUCCUCAUUUUCAUUAGAGAUGGGUAUGGAGGGAACACUUUGCCACUUUUGCUCCUGUAUAGGGAGGUGUGGAGGUCGCGGAUAAGGGUAGAAGGCUAGUCUAUGUGGGUGAGUCGUAGCAAGUAGUUAGGAGAGCUUUUGUGUAGCCGGGUUAGUAAUCCUAGGACUGUAUCCAUAGAUAAGAGCAGCUAGUUAGGAAAGUUUGGGUGUGAUGAAUGUCUUUGGUGUGAGUGUAUGGUACUGCUGGCUGGAUGUCUUAUUUCUUAUUUAUCUUAUUUCUUACUUCUCUUAUUUCUAUUUUUAUUAUUUCUUAUUCCUUAUUUUUAUUAUGGCAUGCAUCCGCUCUGUUUCGUGUUUCAUUGCAAUUUGUGACCUUAUUUACUAUUCUUUAUCUUGAUACGGGCCGGGGUUUAUCAGAAACAACUUCUCUAUUUCUUCAGAGGUAGCGGUAUUAACUGUGUACACUUUAUCCUCUUCAGACCCCACUUUGUGGGAAUAUACUGGAUUUGUUGUUGUUGUUGUUGUCAUUAUUGUUUUUGCCCCUGUAGUGGGACUUUCUGCGUGAAUCUGAUGAAUUAGUCGGACUUUAAUAUGGGUACCAGAAAUAAUGUGGGAAAUAAAAAAAAGUAAAGUAUUUUUACAGGUGAACUCUAGAACGUCUCAAUUUCUUUCCUAAAACCAAAGCAUGAGUUGAUGAUUGGUACACAGGCAAGAUUAGAAGCUUCAUGUUUAACUACUUUCCAACAAAUUCACCAAAAAGUCCUUCCCUGUCAAUAAUAACUUCUUUUCAUGGCUUUUUAUACUCUUUGCUGAAAGUUUGAGUUGUGACAAUUUAAAAUUUCAUGAAAAUUUCCUUUACAUCACUUUUAGCUUUAGAUAAAGCAAUUUGCUAUUUUCUAAUGAGGUGAAACGAAUUUGAGAAGUGGUUUCAAAUCCAACAUACUACUUAGUACUCUCUCCGUCUCAUUUUAGUCAAUCAUUGUUCUUUUUAUAUACAUAUUAAGAAAUCACAAAUAUGAAGGUAAUAUUUAUCAAUUCAUCCCCGAAAAAAACUUUUCGGAAACUUUAGAAAUGUUUUCUUGAUUUAGUAAGAUGAACAACUAAUAUAUAUGAAACAACUAUUUUUAGUAAGAUAACCAACUAAUAUCUCACAGAGAAAGAGUAGUAUAUAUACUGCAUUUCACUCUCAAAAAGUUUCGAAUUACUUCAGCAUACCGAGUUAGAAUUCGAACUCAGAAAACAAUGAAGUUACAACACUUAUAAAGUUUUCAACCACCACGAAUUUAGCUUUGUUUGGUCAUAAAUUCUGGGAGUUGAUAUUUUUAAUUUAAAGUAUUAUUUGCUCCUGAAUUUGAUCAAUUUUUGAAAUUUAUCUUCAAAACAUUUUUAAAUUUCAAAAAGUGGUCUAGUUUCUUGAUGAAAUUUCAUUUUCACUCACAAAUUUAUUUUAAAAAAUUCAAGUAAAAUGCAUCUCUAAAUACAUGUAUCGAAUUUCAAAACUAUUUCUUAACACGACUUAAUUUUAUUUUAAGGAAAAGUUCAAUGAAAUAUAUUUCCAAACACUAACUUAUUUUUAUGGUCUUGGUCAAAGAUGAAAGUAAGUUGUAACUAUAUAAGUAUAAAUUUGUCGUUAUUAGCUGAAGCCAACAAUUAUGGCGUAGAUGAAAUAAUAGUUUGGCCGACAAAGAUGGUUUCUUGUUUUCCAAUUUGUGUCCUCUAACUUUUAAUGUAUUAUAUUUAUAUCUAUACAUUAUAGAAGAGGCUGAUGUUAUAAGAAGAUUAAAAUUGAGCAGGAUUGCAUUAAAAGCUGAUCACAGGCGGCAGACAGCUAAAAGACAGUUGAAUUGAACGUAGUACAGACUACAGUGUAAUAUACUAAUAUUAUUUUGGAUUUGUCAUGUUGCCCGUUGGGACAUUAAUUAAGGUUAAAAAAAACAAAAACUAACACAAAAGAUGAUGAAAUUGUGUACCAUAGCCAAUUUACUUACUUACUUCCGUGUAUUAAUUAUGUACAGAUAUAAUAGUAGUAUUUAUUAUUGUUAGAAUGCCUAAAGCCAAAAACAACUUUAAUAUGCCAUUCAGGAAAGGUAGGUUUUAGUGGGUACUGUGUUAGCAUUGCUCGGCAGACAAGGUGUUCCAAUUUUGAUCAAUCAAAUUUUUUGAAAAAUAUCUUUUUUUUUUUAAGAAAAUAACUUUCCUAAUUAAGUAAUUAUAAAAUUAGGGUUCGUUUGGUGUGAGGUAUAACGGAUAAGUAGGUCCGAGAUAAAAUGAAGGAUUAUUUUGUUUCAUGUUUGGUUGAAGGUAUUAGUUAGUAUCGAGAUUAUUUAUUCCAUCAUUUACACCAUAAUGAUUAGAUAAAUUAUCCCAUAUACAUGGUGGGAUAUAUAAUUAAUCCGAAAUAAUCCCGGAAUAACUAAUUCCGAAAGUGAUUAACCCGGGAUAACUAUUUCCCAACCAAACUACCUCUAAUAGUUUUAUAAGUAACACUCCACUUUAUAUUAAUUGUCUCCUUGCAAUAUAUAUAUAUAUAAGUCAUCAAUGGUUGUGAUCCAUUUGUGUGGAAUGGUUUGGCUUGAGCCUUGACACAUACCAUGUCUACUGCUGCAAGAACUUACAAGGUUAGAGGGGGAAAUUGACCUGAUCUCAAACUUAACCAUAAGACAAUAACCAAAAGAUUACAUAAAGGAUUAUUUAGCCUAUAAAAAUCCUUUCAUAAAAAAAAAGAAAACGAUAACUUCAACCAACAAGAGAAGUUACUCUUAUCAUCUCUCUUCCUCAUAGAGGAAAUUAAAGUUGCCAUUUGUCUAGUUGAAUCAAGCCUUUAGCCUCUCUAGCCAAUUGUUGAUGAGAUGCAUAAAAGAUUUUGUCUCCACCAGACGAUGCUAAUUUAGCCCCUUCAAUAUUAUGCUCUACCCACGUACUAGCUACUAGUUAUAUACACUUAUAUUUAGGUUGGUAUAUGGGUAUCGAUCCUAAGCUGGGGUUCUAUCGGAAACCUCUCUACUUCUCCUGAGGUAGUGGUAUGGUCUGCGUAUACUCUACCCUCCCCAGACCCUACUAGGUGGGAAUACACUGGGUAUGUUAUUGUUGUACCACGUACUAGCUACCCUCUUCUUCUAUAUAUAAACUAUAAAUCAAAAACGUUAUACUUUAUUACUGAAUAUUUCAUCACGCGUUUAAUGGGAGCCAGUCUAUGAAGUGAGCAUCCUGAUGCCAUUGAACAGACAUGACCAAGAUUUGCCAUUUAUUAAACUAGUAGAAAAUUUUAUAAUAUGAGUAGAAUGAAAAGAAUGAAGAUUGAAGAUAUACUGUGUCAAGCCUCUUUAUGACAAUUAUGAUUACUCAUCACACACUAUGUAAACUAUUGAUGCAAAGUAAUUCGUUCAUUCUUCCGGUAUGUAGCCAAACUGCCAAAGACUAUAUAUAUAUUAAUUCUUACAAAACUUUCUUAACGAAUAAUUAUUAGAUCAGAACUGGAAGAAACGAGUUACUCGUUUUAGAUCAGAAAAUAAAAUAAUUAUUACUCCAUUCUUUAAUUAUCUUUCUUUUUUCCAGAGAUAAAUCAUCAUUCAUAUUUCAUCAUCAAAGCAGCUUUUACUGAGAAAUCAUAAAAUUCAGUGAAGAGAAGUCAGGUAUAGGAACUCGUGCUGGACUAUUGAAUGCCUAUGAACUAUGAACGUCAAAUUAAUUUCCUAAAAAAUUUCCGUACCGCUCAAGAAAGGAAGAGUAGAUUGUCACAUCUAUGUCUGCCUAAUUAGAACAAAUGUCUUCCAAUAAAAUCACACUAAAGUAAAAUACUCUCUCUCUCGUUUCAUUUUUACGUGUGGUGUUUUCCUUCAUAAAAGUUAAAUCAACUAUUCUUUUCGUUUUAAAAAAAGAAUGACCUACUUUGACUUGACACAAAAUUUAAGAAAAUAAAGAUGUCAUUUGAAUCUCAUGGCCUUAAAUUAAAAUUGUGUCAAAUGUCCUUUAAUCUUGUGGUCCUAAACAUGCCAUGUGGAAAGUUGAAAUUAAAGUAUUGUCAAAAAAAGAAAAGGGGUCAUUUUUUUUUAAACGGAUUAAAAAAAAAAAUAGGAGGGAGUAAUUUUUUCGAGUUAAAUUAAAUUAAAUUAAUUUAAUAUGAUAAAUUUAAAAUUCAGAUAUUAAAAAAUUAUAAUCAUUCUGAAAAUAUGUACAUAUUAAAUGUAAGUUAAAUUUCAUGAAGUCGACUCUCAUUGUAAAAUUGAUCAGAGAAAGUAGUAAAAAGAGUUGCAAAACAAUAAAAUAAAAUACAUGUCUUCUUUAAUAGUAGCUCCCCUCUGAUCUUCUUAAACUUUUGUGUUCAAUGAAAUAUAUCAUCAGUAUACAACUUGGAUUAGUAUAAAUAAUUGCGAGUGAUAUCAUCAUAUGAAUAGAUGAUGUAUGACGAAUAUUUGCCACCACAAGAUUGUGACAUGCAUGCAAGAUAUCGUUUGUACCAAACCAAAUACACACGACAUAUAUCAUAAAAGCAUCGUGAGUAUGGCAGGCUCACCUUCAUGAACCCUCUUUCUCACACACACACACACAGUCGUAAAUAUGCAACCACUAUUGACAUUGAAUUACUCAAGCGAGCGUAGGCAUACUUCUAAAAUUAUUUUUAAAUGUUUGUCGCACUUGUUCAAAAUAGAUAUUCUAUAAUAUUUGUUAUUAGAAAAUCAUGAAAUAAUUAGUUAUUUUUUCAUCUUUAUUCUUAAUUACAAAUAUGGAUAAAUAUAUUAAUAUAGUGUAAAAAGAGAAGUAUAUAUUAAAUAAAUACGAGUAAUAAAUAAAGAUAAUUAAACCAAAUUACCUUCUAGUAAUGCUUUUCUUAACUUAAAAAGGUGACAAGUAAAUAGAAAUAGAGGGAGUACUCCAUCCAAUCAUAUUUUGCGUGGCACCCUUUCAAAGGUGAAAGCUAGUUACCUUGGAGCCAGGAGGUUCAUUCAAACCCUCUUGUAGGAAAAUUAUAUUAUUAAUUUAUACAUGAUUGGAAUUAUUCUUUUAUAUAUAUAUAUAGUAGAUGUCGAACCCCUUCAACUAGUUCGUGCUUCCACCUCUGCACCUUUGAUUUGAUUUAGUGUUUAAGGAAAAAUGAAAGAGUUUUAAAAUUUGGUGUGUAAAAUAAUCCUUAAUUAUUUGUGUACAACAUAUCAUUUCAUUAAGAAUAAAUUAAAGAGAAAUUUAAAGCUAAAUUAUUUCUAAUCAUAAUAAGAUAACAUUUUUUAUGAGAUAAACUAAAAAGAAAUGGGUGUUGUAUAAAUGAAUUGUUGGAUUUUGGCACACAAGUUAAGGAAAAAACAUUAAAGACAUAAAUUUAACAUAAAAUUUCAUUUUUACUCCAAAAAAAAGAAAAAGCUUACCUUGUAAUACCCUUUCAAAAGUUAAUUGACUAUCAAAUCAUAAGGGUAAAUUUGAAAAAAAAUUCAAUGAUUCACUUAUUUUGAAACACCAAUAAAUAUCCCAACAAUUCAUUUAUUCCGAAACGGAGGGAGUAAUAAACAACAUAAAUUAUUUUUAAGAUUUAAUUUCACACUUUAAAGAGGAAUACCUUUAGAUAUCAUUUAAAUAUAAUGUGAUAUUGUAGAAACAUUAUUUAUAUUGACAAUAUUUUCUAAAUAACUCUGAGACUCAACAACAACAACAACAAACCCAGUGUAUUCCCACCUAGUGGGGGCUGGGGGGUAAGAUGUACGCAGUCCAUACCUCUACCUCUAAAGAAGUAGAAAGACUAUUUCCGAUAGACCCCCGGCUCAAGUCACGAGAUACCACACAAACUCAUAGUAAAGCACAGAACUAGAUUACAUAACAUAAAUAUGACACCCAUAAGUAUUAGAACACAGAGGAAAGCACACACUAGCGACCCAAACCGGCCCUAGUCUUCUGCCCUAAUUCGCGUCCUCCAGACCUUCCUAUCUAGGGUCAUGUCCUCGGUGAGCUGUAACUACUCCAUGUCCCGUCUAAUCACCUCACCCCAGUACUUCUUCGGCCUACCCCUACCCCGCCUAAAACCAUCCAACGCUAGCCUCUCACACCUACGAACCGGGGCAUCCAUGCCCCUCCUCUUCACAUGUCCGAACCAUCUCAAUCGGGCUUCCCGCAUCUUGCACUCCACUGGAGUCACACCAACCUUCUCCCGGAUAGUCUCAUUCCGAACUCUAACCCCUCUAGUCAGCCCACACAUCCAGCGCAACUUUGAGACUGAAUGAUGGAAAUAAAGAAAAAAGA